rnacentral:lncRNA from 1 species
GUCGAUGGGCCUUCAGCAGGCUGAAAUGUCACGCCCAAGAUGUGACCCUAUCCUAAAGGAACUCGAAGGUCCCACCAAGGAUAGAAGCGCAUCUUGAAGAUGCUUUUGCAAGGUGGAUAUCAUUACAUCAACAUUACAUAAUGGAUAGGGAUACAUACAUAAGGCAUACAAUGCCACACGAAUACAACAUCAUCUUACAUAAGAGCACCAUCCGACUACGGAUGAAACACAAACAGAAACUCAAACGACAUCCACCCUGCUAGCCCAGGCUGCCGACCUGGAACCUAUCCCCUGAUCGAAGAAGCAGAAGAAGAACUCAACGCAAGCAAGCAUCGCUCUCGCGUCAUGAUCAUCGCAUAACCUGUACCUGCAACUGUUGUUGUAGUAAUUUGUGAGCCACGAGGACUCAGCAAUCCCAUUACCAUGGGUAUCAAGACUAGCAAAGUUUCAUAGGAAAGGAAGGGGGUAAAGUGGUGAGGUUGCAGCAGCGACUAAGCAUAUAUGGUGGCUAACAUACACAAAUAAGAGCGAGAAGAGAGCAAGCAGAACGGUUGUGAAGCUAGCAAUGAUCAAGAAGUGAUCCUGAACUCCUACUUACGUCAAACAUAACCCAAGAACCGUGUUCAUUUCCCGGACUCCACCGAGAAGAGACCAUCAUGGCUACACAUGCGGUUGAUGCGUUUAAAUGCGGAUCUGGUGUCAAGUUUUCUACAACCGGACAUUAACAAAUUCCCAUCUGCCCAUAACCGCGGGCACGGCUUUCGAAAGUUUAAACCCUGCAGGGGUGUCCCAACUUAGCCCAUGAUAAGCUCUCGCGAUCAACGAAGGAUAUACCUUCUCCCAGGAAGACCCGACCAGACUCGGAAUCCCGGUUUACAAGACAUUUCGACAAUGGUAAAACAAAACCAGCAAAGCCGCCCGAUGUGCCGACAAAUCCCGAUAGGAGCUGCACAUAUCUCGUUCUUAGGUCACACCGGAUGAGCAAGACGAUGGGUUGGCAUAGACCCUGGUUGCCCAGGGGGCGCCGGACAUCGCUUGGUUUGGACCAACACUUAGACAAGCAUUGGCCCGGGGGGGCUAAAAUAAAGAUGACCCUCGGGUUAAUUACUCCCAAGGGAAAUGUAGGUGAUGGUGAGGCAAGUGGUAAAACCAAGGUUGGGCCUUGCUGGAGGAGUUUUAUUCAAAGCGAACUGUCAAGGGGGUCCCAUAAAUCACCCAACCGCGUAAGGAACACAAAAUCCAGGAACAUAACACCGGUAUGACAGAAACUAGGGCGGCAAGAGUGGAACAAAACACCAGGCAUAAGGCCGAUCCUUCCACCCUUUACCAAAUAUAUAGAUGCAUUAAUUAAAUAAGAGAUAUUGUGAUAUCCCAACAUAAUCCUGUUCACCAUGGGGCAAUCUUCAACUUCACCUACAACUAACAACGCUAUAAGAGGGGCUGAGCAAAGCGGUAACAUAGCCAAGCAAUGGUUUGCUAGGAAGGGUGUCAAAGGUUAGAGGUUCAUGGCAAUUUGGGAGGCUUGAUGAGCAAAAGAUAGGUAACGCAGCAUAGCGAUAGAACGAAGCAACUAGCAUAGCAAUGAUAGUAAUGAGAUCCAGGGUAGCGGUCAUCUUGCCUGAAAUCCCGCAAGGAAGAAGAACUAGUCCAUGAAGAAGAUGAAGCCACAAAGACGAACCAAGCGUAGACGAACGAAUCCUCACGAUCGCAACGAAACGGGAACUAUCGAGAAGAAGCACACAACAUAGUAAACACACCACACAUGAACAAGGCAUGAUGCACACACAAGCAUGAUGCAUGACAAGGCUACAUGAAGCUACUCAUGGCAAGAGAUGAUGCAUACAAGAGCAACACAUCAAAGCAAGUUUAAAUGAGGCCGAAAGCAACAUAUAACAAUUUCGGUAAGUCCUCAUAUGCAAAUUUCGAAAUUGUUCCAGAUCUGAAUAAAUCUUAUGUUCAAGUUGUUAAACAUCAAGUUAAGAUGCACCAAGAUGAUCUACAUGAUAUUCUAGUCAAGUUACAUAUAAAGUUCAUUUAAUUCGGAGCUACGGCCUAGAAGAUAUGAGCAAAACAAGUCAAACAUGGCAUUGAUGCAAAAUGCACCCAAACAUCAAGCAAACACCUCAAAACAAGGAUGCAACAUGAUAAUAUGAAACUACAUGCAAUUCUAAGCAAGUUUCAUAUAGAGCACACUCAAAACGGAGCAACGGUGCAACACAUACACUCCAAACAAGACAUAACAACAAUCUGCCCAAAACAGCAACUAGGCAUAUUGCAAGCAUCAAAACAAUAUGCUGCAGCAGCUCAACAUGAUAAAAAAGGCAUGGACAUGAUGUACAGGUAAAGCAUAACAAAACAUGAACACUGAGCUAUCUCCAGAAAUCACUAGAACAUGCUCGAACACACAUGGCAAGAUUGCAAAUGAUAACAGUUUCAGGCUUAGCAGAAAUAACAUCAGGUUGCAAUGUUUAGAGCUAUCAAACAACAUGUUACAGGAACUUAUCAUGGCAAACAAAGGCAUGGAAUGAAUCUACUAAUUGCAUAGAACAAAAGUCCUUUACUGACCAUGAGCCAAAAAGGAUAAGAAGAUAUGAUGGCACCCAUGUAAACAUGGCAAGUUAUAUGACAGAUUCAUACUUGGCAGGAACAUCGAUAAGUAGGCAUGUUGGUGAGCUUGAACCACUCCCCACAGAGCAACACAUGGCAUGGAAAGGCAACCAACAGUAAGAUGGCAUAUUUAUGAAGCUAAAAAUGGCAAGAACAAGUUCAUAGGGUGCAUGGAUCACUAGCAAAGCACAUGGCAACAACUGAACUUGAGAGCAAGGUUACAACAAGCUACAGCAGGCUAUAAAUGCAACCAGAGGUAUGGAUGGAUAUACCAUGACAUGUUUAACAAAACAUCCUUAGUUAACAUCUCCAUAUAAUUCAUAGAAUGACUUGUAGAAGCAGGUUUACAUAGCAUCACCAAAUAACAGAUUCGGCCUAGCAAAACAGUAACAGCAAGUACCCUACUUCACGAUCUCGAUUCACUCACCACAAGUCAUUGCUUGACAAGAUAAGCAUAGCAUCAUCAUGAAUACAUGUUUAUGAAACUAACCAAGGCAAGAAAAAGUUCAUAGCAUGCAAGGAUCAACUACAACGACCUUGGCAAAAUUGAAUAACAUGUAAACAAUCUGCCAGGAAACAUUUUAUAGCAAAAGUAGAGCAAGAAAAGGAUACGCUAAACUACUCCAUAAUUGCAAACAGGGGCAUGAAUGGAUAUAGAAUAACCAAUGUUCAAAACAUCCUUACUGAAGUAUCUCAAAAUAUGCUUGGAUCUCUCUGUAGCAUCAAGUUUACAUGGCAUAAAAAUAACAGCAGAACAGGGACUGAAAUCAGCAACAUCACGAAGCCUAGUUUGCAUGCUUGUUCUAGUCACCACAUUGAUCACAAAAAUACAUGGCAUACACCCCUGUAAAUAUGGCAUGAUGUAGCACAAAACACAUGUAUAGCUCAUGCUCAUAGGAUGCACACAACAAACAUGGCAAAAAAGACAAAUGAGCAUGUUCUGUUAACAGACAGCAAACAACAUUAUAUAGCACUCUUGCAAUGAUGAUUCAGGCAUCAAGAUGCACUCAAAUGAACAUGCUGCAAUGUAAUGAAAUGAAGAGCAUCUCACAACGAACAUUUUGACAUAUUAUGCACACAAAUCGGAGUAGUAUACAUGGAGUUAUGAUGCAUUGAACAGGAGCUAAAAAUAUGCAAAACUGUGGGACUUAGUCAAAUUCGGGGUCAACCUUGGGUCUGCACGGAUUUUGAGGCGAGGCGGAUCUCGCCGGAUUUCCGCCGGAGAAGACGGGGAAGACGGCCGGAGCUCAGGGAGGAGGCCGGGAGGAGCCGCUGGCGGGCUCGGAGUUGCCGGAUCCGGUCCGGCCCAACCGGAUCUGGGCACCGGAAUCGGGGCGGUGGCUCGGGGACGCCGGCGAAGGCGCGGCUUCGGGGAAGGGCGACGCCGGCCGGGAGGUGGCGCGGGGCACGCGGCCGNNNNNNNNNNAGCGGGGGCGAGGCGGCUGAGCGGACCGCGAGCGGGGGCGAUGGCCGGCGCGGGGCUCGCGGCGGCGGCGGUGGCCGCGGGAGCCGGGCAGCGCUAGGGGCGGCGGCGCAGGAGAUCGGGCCCGGGAGGGCGGCGGCGGCGCGCGGGCCGGGAGGGGCCCGCUUGGGCCUCGGCGGGCCGGCGCGCGAGGACGGCGAAGGACACGUGGCGGCGCGCCAUUGGCUGCGGACGGCGGUGGAGAUGCGUCUGGCGCGGACGGACAUGUCCGGCGCGGCGCGGAUGGGAAAAUUUAGGGUUUCAUCUGCGAUUUCGGGGGAGGGGAACUAAUUAUAGAUUCUGGGAGCUAGGAGAGUCCAAAUGAGGAGCGGUUUUCGCCCACAUGAUCGUGAUCGAACGACCGAGAUCAUGGAGGGAGUUUGGAUGGGUUUUGGGCCACUUAGGAGGGGUGUUGGGCUGCAAGACGAAAGGGGCUUUGCGGGCUACGCGGUUAAUCGUUGGAGUAUCAAACGACCUCCAAAUGGCACGAAACUUGACAGGCGGUCUACCGGUGCUAUACCAAGGCCGCUUGGCAAACCUCGGGCCAUUCCGAGAAAGUUUAGCACCCACUCACAACAGGAGACAAAAGGGGAACGCCGGAGGACAUAGGAGUGCCGGAUUGCAAAACGGGCAACGGGGAAAAUGCUCGGAUGCAUGAGACGAACAUGUAUGCAAAAUGAAAUGCACAUGAUGACAUGGAAAUAUGCAACACGCAAGCAAAUGUCAUGGCAAUGAUAGCGAAUAACUGGCAGACACCUGGCGCAUCGAAUCUGGAGUGUUACAUGAAAUGUAGACCGGGCCUUUUUGGGCCCAGUUAGCUCACGGGCUAUUACCAGGCCGAAACAUAUCUCGGGCCUUAGUUGGCCCACUAAUAUCAUGGGCCUUUAAGAGGCUGAAAGCUUAGUACAAGCAUCAACAGGCCGAAUUAUCUGACAGGCCUUUAACAGGCCCAAAGUCACGUUGGGCUUAACUGUUGCCACCUUUAUCACGGGCCGUUAGUGGGCCCGAUGUGCCGUCGGACCAUAUAUGGCCCAUGGGCAGCACGGGCCAAUCCCAGGCCGAAAGUCACACCGGGCUGAAAUGGGCCCAUGUCUACAUCGGGCCUCUAACAGGCCGAAAGUCACUGGGCUGUAGUUGGGCCCAAAUAUUUGGCGAACAAUUAACGGGCCAGAUCUGGCUUCAGGACGUAAAUGGGCCCAAAUAUUCGGCGAACAAUUAAUGGGCCAGAUCUGGCUUCGGGCCGUAAAUGGGCCUUUAUUAAGGAGGUCGUUAUUGGGCUAGCCCACUAGUACCUGAGUAAGUACUACUGGCCUUUGACUGGGCCGGCCUUUUUAACCUAUAUGGGCCUCUGUUGGGCCCAGCCACGUGUCGACGUAUCAUAGGCAUGUCUCCUCUAAUGGACGGGCAACAUCUGGCCCACUGACAAGCUGACAGGUGUUCCCUCUGGCCAAUCAGAAUUUUACACGUGGAAAUUUCCCAUUGGUCCAAAACCCAACCCGAUAGCUUAACGGCGCUCCAUUACGGUGGAUGCCACGUGUCGGUCACCCUUGACGAAAGCACUUCUGUGAUGCGCAAUUUAUCGUCAUGGAGUGGACACUUCCGUGAUGAUAAUUUUGGUAAUGUCAUGGAACACUUCUACGAUAGCACAGGUAUGACUAUCUUGAUUCUGUCAUAAAAUCGUCAUGGAUGUACAUGCAUGACAAAAAAUGCGACCUACUGUGACAAACACGUAUCAUCACGGAAGUGUAUUUUUUUGUAGUGUAUGCAGGUUGGGCAGAUUUUCCCACACAAGAAAUCUGCUUACCAAGCAAUAAAUAGCUAGGCAAUCGCCCUCCACCGCUAGCAUAGUGUGAAGCAGUCUAAUAAAAAAGAGUUGAAGGUCAUCUGCAUCCAUUCCACUGAGGGUUGCCUUGGAAGAGUUGUCGCUCGACUGAAGCUUGGGGUAUGUCAGCCAUGGCAUAUCACAAAAAUAGUGGCCCAUAGUUGUGAGCAAACUGGGACUCUUUCAGAUCACUACACUGUGACUGUAGAAUACACGACUAUGGAACCCAGUCUCAACAUUAGUAUUAGGACUUUGAAAAAAAAACAAAGAUCAGAUUGGAUUUCCUGUCGGCUACAACAAGGCUACACAUGCGAAGGAAAAGAUAUUCUAGAGGUGUAUGGAACCUAUGAGGAGGCCUAUUCAUAUGCUCCCAUAAUGCUUCAUCAGAUAGCAACUGCUAACAAGGGGACUCAAGGUUGGCAGAAAGAACAUAAAAACCCAAAGAAGUCGUACGAGCUAAUCCUUGACCGUUUAUUCUGGGCAUUCGGCCAGACCAUACAAGCCUUCAUUCUCUGUUGUCCAAUUUUAUCAAUUGAUGGUACCUUAAGUACAAGGGCGCACUCUUGGUGGUGAUUGCAGUAGAUGCAAAUAAUCAGCUUCUUCCUAUUGCAUAUGCACUAGUUGAGACCGAGAACAAAGAUAGCUGGAUGUGGUUCCUAUGUUGCCUGAAGUUGGGUGUCAUGAAAACCCGUGAAGGUGUUUGCAUCAUUCUUUGAUUGCAACGCUAGACUAUUAAGCGCGCUCGACAUAAAUAAACAGUCGUCAGAAAACUGCGGUGACCCGAUCUAGAGGAAAGAUGGUACAUGAGGCAUUAGGUAGCAAGUUUUUACUCCAAAUUCAGAAACAAGGAUUGGUUCAAGCUAUUCAAUAGGAUGUGCAUGCAGAAAACUGAAGCCAAAUGAAUGUGAUCUAGGCAGGUAUCAGUGGUGAGAUCGAGCACGCGGCCUUGCUGGAGAGAUAAGACCUGGAGGGGUCGUAGGACGACAAUAAAUUUGAGCCAGCGGAUCAGCAAGAAUUGUCCUAAUUUGUACAAGUGGUCGCAGGCUCACAACACCAGGGCUCGGUAUAGAAUAUUGACUGGCAAUGUGUCAGAGGUGUACAAUGGUGUUCUUAAAAGGGUGCGAGCCCUGCCUAUCACAGCCCUAAUUGAUGAAACUUGGAACCGGACUUUGUCAUACUUUGCAGACAGAGUUAGCGCCGCCAAGGUACAAGUUGAAUUAAACAAGCCAUGGUCUAUGAAGAUGCAAAGACAUCUGAACGACAGGACAAAGAAGUCCCAGAUCCAUGGUUGCAGGAAAGUGGGCGCACAUAGGAAUAAAGGGGAAGUCAACAUGCAAGCCAAGUAUGUUAAGGGUCACAACAGAGGAUAAAAAAAGCAAGAUGGCACCCUUGGCCCAACGCUGUGUGAGUGCACUUGCAACAAGCCCAAGCUUUUAGAAUACCUUUGUAGUCAUGUGCUCCGGGCGGCUGCAACUCAAAAAAACCGUGUCGAGCCAUACAUAUCGUUGUACUCCAACAUGUAUAAUUUAUACAACACCUAGAACGGCGAUAUCCAGGCCUAGGGCAUUGAUAUGCACUACAAAUUGGUGUGGCCAGAUGGGCCCAAAUGGGUUUCGGACACAGCGUUGAUGAGAACUGCCAAGGGACGACUUCAGUCUAGGCGUCAUCGCAAUGUCAUGGACCAUAGCCAGUUGGGAGAACCAAGGUGAUGUCACGUAUUGGGGCAACAACACCACAUGAUGUUGUUAUAUUUGUACUCGUUAUGUUGCCUUUCAUUCGUAAUCGUGAUGUUAACUUCAAAUAUUAAAUUUGAAUUGAACUCGCUCUGUUUAUUUGUAUUUGUAUUUGUGAUGUUAAUUUUUAUUUGUAUUUGUGGUCUUAAGUUUUAUUCGUUUUGAUGAUUAUGUGUGUGCAGGUUAUGGCCGAAUUGAUAGUCCUUUUGUAGGGGCACCACGACAAGGACCACCGUUGCCACCUUUUCUUAAACCCAAAUCAUGAAAAUCCUCCUCGGAUCUUCAGGCUUCGAACUGUAAAGAACACAUGGAUAAUAGAUGAUUCUUUCAUUGCACACCUUGAGGCUUAUGGACUACUUGGUUUUGCUCUGCUCAGAUUUGGUAAACCCCAAUUCACUUUGGACCCAUCUAUUUUGACCUCCCCCAUUGACCGGUGGAGACCUGAAACCCACACCUUUCACUUUCAUUGUGGGGAGCUUGCACCCACCCUGAAAGAUGUGUCUAUGAUCACUGCUCUACCAAUUAGAGGUGAGCCAUUGGCCCCUCCACGAGUCUCUGCAUCUUGGCCAGACGAUGUAUCAGUCCAUCUUGGGGUGACAAUGGAUAAAUACAACAUCCUGGUCCGCCUCGGGGUGUCCCACUCAGAUGGCUUCGUGAUAAAUUUGAAGAUAUUCCUCGCAGCGCUAAUCUUGAUAUGAGGAAGAGACAUAUGUUUGCGUAUUUUUUGUGGCUCUUCGGUAUGAUGUUUCCAAAUUCACAUGGUGAUGUAGUUCUCCCUGGUCUUAUCUACUUUGUUGAGAAGAUAGUACAUGAAUCUUUACCUCAGAAUCCAAAAUACAACUUCGGUUCUGCUAUGCUUUCUCAUAAAUACAGAGGGUUGUGUGAUGCCACACAAAAAUCUUUGUUCUCAUCGAAAGCUCUUUUACUUUGUGUCUCAUACGAGUUCCUAUAGUUGUAGUCCUGGAAAUACCUCCCCAUUGGACGACCCCGUAUCAUGCUAUGUAACUAUGGCAGUUGUAUGGAUGUAUGGGAUCUAUGAUAUGGGGUCGUCCAACGGGGAAGUAUUCCCAGGACCACAACUGUAGAAACUUGUAUGAGACACAAAGUAACAGAGCUUCCGAUGAGAACGAAGAUUUUUGUGUGGCAUCACACAACCCUCUAUAUGUAUGAGAAAGGAUAGCUGAACCGAAGCUAUAUUUUGGAUCCUGAGGUAAAGAUUCGUCUACUAUCUUCUCGGCAAAGUAGAUGAGACCAGGGAGAACUACAUCACCAUGUGAAUUUGGAAACAUCAUACCGAAGAGCCACAACAAAUAUGCAAACAUAUGUCUCUUCCUUGUCUCGGGAUUAGCAAUGCGAGGUACAUCCUAAAAUUUCUCAUGAAGCCAUUCGAGUGGGACACCCCGAGGCGGACCAGGAUGCUGUAAUUGUCCCAUUUUCACCCCAAGACGGACUAAGACAUCAUCUAGCCAAGAUGUUGAGACUCGUGCAGGGGCCAACGGCUAACCUCUAAUUGGUAGAGCAGUGAUCAUAGACACAUCUUUCGGGGUAGGUGCAAGCUCCCCACAACAAAAGUGAAAGGUGUGGAUUUUAGGUCUCCACCGGUCAACGAGGGAGGUCAAAAGAGAUGGGUCCAAAGUGAAUUGGGGUUUACCAGAUGUGAGCAUAGCAAAACCAAGUAGUUCAUAAGCCUCAAGGUGUGUGCAAUGAAAGAAUCAUCUAUUAUCCAUGUGUUCUUUAUGGUUCGAAGCCUGAAGGUCUGAGGAGGAUUUUCAUGAUUUGGGUUUAAGAAAAGGUGGCAACAGUGGCCCUUGUUGUGGUGCCACUACAAAAGGACUGUCAAUUUGGCCAUAACCUGCACACACAUAGUCAUCAGAACCAAUAACACUUAACACCACAAAUACAGAUAAAAAUUAACAUCACAAAUACAAAUACAAAUAAACAGAGCGAGUUCAAUUCAAAUUAAAUACUUGAAGUUAACAUCAUGAUUAGAAAUGAAAUGUAACAUAUGAGUACAAAUAUAACAACAUCACGCGGUGUUGUUGCCUCGAUACGUGCAUUCCCUACGUGAGUGCCCAGGGCGCCUGCAAAUGCGACAUCACCUUGGUUCUCCCAACUGGCUAUGGUGGAUGACAUUGCGAUGACGCCUAGGCUGACGGCAUCCCUUGGUGGUUAUCAUUGACGCCGCGUUCGGAACCCAUUUGGGCCCAUCUAGACAUGCCAAUUUGUAGUGCAUAUCAAUGCCCUAGGCUUGGAUAUUGCUGUUCCAGGUGUUGUAUAAUUUAUACAUGUUGGAGUACAGCGAUAUGUAUAGGUUGACACAUAUUUUUUUAUAUGCAAAUGCCCGGAGGACAUGGUUGCAAAGGUAGUCCAGAAGUUUGGGCUUAUUGCAAGUGUACUCACGAGGCGUUGGGCCAAGGUGCCAGCUUGCUUUUGUUAUCCUCUGCGGUAACCCUUAACAUACUUGGCUUGCACGUUGACUUCCCACUUAUUCCUAAGUGCGUCCACUUUCCUAUGACCAUGGAUUUGAGACUUCUUUGGUUUGUCGUUCAUAUGUCUUUGCAUCUUCUUAGAUCAUGGCUUGUUCAAUUCAACUUGUACCUUGACGAUGUUGACUCUGUCUGCAAAGUAUAACAGAGUCCGGUUCCAAGUUUCAUCGAUUAGGGUAGUGAUAGGCAGGGCUCGCACCCCUUUAAGAACAUCAUUGUACACGUCUAAGACAUUGUCGGUCAAUAUUCCAUACCGAGCCCCGGUGUCGUGAGCCUGCGCCCACUUGUACAUAUCAGGGCAAUUCUCACCGAUCCACUGGCUCAAAUUUAUUGCCAUCCUCGACCCCUUCGGUCUUUUCUCUCUAGCAAGGCCACGCGCUCGAUCUCACCAUUGAUACCAGCCCAAAUCGCAUUCAUUUUGGCUUCAGGUUUCUGCAUGCACAUCCUAUUGAAUAGCUUGAACCAAUCCUUGUUUCUGAAUUUGGAGUAAAACUUUGUUGCCAAAUGCCUCAUGCACCACCUUCCCUCUAGAUCGGGCCACCCCCAGUUUUCUAACGAUUGUUUAAUUAUGUCGAGCGCACUUUAUAGCCAAGUGUUGUGAUCAGAGAUGAUGUAAACACCUUCACUCUUUUUCACGACACCCAACUCAAGGCAUCAUAGGAACCACAAUCAGCUAUCAUUGUUCUCGGUCUCAACCAGUGCAUAUGCAAUAGGAAGAAGUUGAUUAUUUGCAUAUGCUGCAAUUUCCACCAAGGGUGUGCCUUUGUACGUUUUAGUGAGAAAGGUACCAUCAAUUGGUAAAACUAGACGACAAAGAAUGAAGGCUUGUAUAGUCUGGCCGAAUGCCCAUAAUAAAUGGUCAAGGAUUAGCUCGUCCGGCUUCAUUGGGUUUUGACGUUCUUUCUGCCAAAUUUGAGUCCCCCUGUUAGCAGUUUCUAUCUAAUGAAGCAGUCUGGGGGAAUAGGAAUAGGCCUCUUCAUAGGUGCCAUACAACCUCUGAAAUAUCUUUUCCUUCGCACGCCUAGCCUUGCUAUAGCUGAUAGGAAAGCCAAUCCGAUCUUCUAUUUUUUUCCAAAUCCCUAAUACUAAUGUUGAGACUUUGUUCCAUAGUCAUUUGCAUCCUCUCUGACCAUAUUCUGCGGUCACAUAUCAGUGAUCUGAAAGAGUCCUAGUUUGCUCACAGCUAUGGGCCACUAUUUUUGUGAUAUGCCAUGGCUGACAUAUCCCAGGCUUCAGGCGAGAGACAAUUCUUCCAAGGCAACCCUCAGAGGAAUGGAUGCAGAUGACCUUCAACUCUUUUUUAUCAAACUAUCGGUGUCCUGGACUUGGGGGUAUCCAGUCUUGCCUGCCUGUGGCCCACCACGUGGCUCCAUCGAUGGCCUGGUACGGCCCAGCUUCGACAUCAACACCAUAAGACCCUCGUGAGGGGCCAAGCCUCGCGAGGUGGAUGACGCCAAGACCCCUAAAGGAGUUGGCCUCCUCGGGAGGGCUCCUGAGGGGCGGAGAGAUCUAUGCUGCUACCUCAUGAGGAUCAGCUGACGUGAGCCAUGACGAUCAAGGCCAGGCAGGUGCCAGGCGGGUACAGAGCGCAGGUUUCCUCUUUGGUGCAAGGGAGGCAAGCCACAGGCACGGAGUCCCGAGGAAUCAGCCAAAGGUUUCCAUUCUGGUGCAAUAAGACCAAGACCGCCAGGACGGCAAUACGGAGGUCAUCACCGAGCCCACCGCAGUGUCAUGACCAGAGGCUUUUCGCAGGAGAAGACUACUUUUGUCAGGAUAGACUGUACUACUUGUCCCCUUUCAAAUCCCGCCGUUGUGGAAUUAUUUCCCUCUCAUAUUUGGGAAGAGGACCAGGGCGACUAUAUAUAGGACUUAGCCACCACCAUAGUGGAGGGAUCGAUUCCACCCCGAGCACCACACCAGCUCAACAACACCUCACCUCUUGAGGCUUGUUCAUACUUUGUACUAGUUCAUCCAUAGCCCCUUGAGGCAAUCCACCACACCACACUGGAGUAGGGUGUUACACCACAACGGUGGCCCAAACCAAUAUAAAUCUCUAUGUCUUUGUGUCUCUGUAAGCUCUACGCCCUAGGCUAGGAAGGAUCGCGAGUAGGCAGGCUGGGCAGGUUGAGAUCUCCACACGCACCCCACUAUUCGAACCUCUCAUGGGAUGCCGGACCCCGAAAUCUGACAUUUGGCACGCUAGGUAGGGGUGCGUCGGAUCUCCUCUUCCAUCGACCAGUCCUCCUCCGCGCCAUCGAUGCCAUGGCCGAUGCCUCAAGAGCCCACGUCGAGCACUGGGUCGUCUAGACCUCCUUGGCAGCACCCACCGGCAAGAAGACCUCCACUCUACCCUGCUCGUGGCCCAUGUUCCGCCGGGGGCGACCGGCCGCGGGGGGGCACCGCACAGCCUUCUCCUUUGGCGCCGCGUCGUAGCCGCGUAGCUGUGUGAUCUGCAAACUACGCUGCAGCAACUGCCCCGCACUCGCGCAGGGAACAAGCGAACAUGCGGGCGGCGGUCAUCGUGGCCCGUGAGCUUCUACGGUGCAGGUUGCUCGAGAGCGGCCGUGAUGCCUUGCUGGAAUGGUCGCUGAGCUGCUGGAUGCGGCAUGCAGGGGACGGCACCGUUCUGCACCCUUCCCACGUUGCAGGCGAUGGUGGGGGCGCGCACUCAUCCCCGACACGGCCGCACGCCCUCCCCCAAGGGCCACGGAGAGCCUCUCGACGCCGACCAGCCUCGUGGAGCAACCCGCGCCGCCCCAAACAUGCCUCCUCGGCACGGGGCUGCUUCGGGCGACACCACCAGCGGCCGCGUUGGAGUGCCGGCCCCUGGCCAGCGAGACCAGAGGAUGGCAGAAGGGAGCGGGAGUGUUAGGCGGUCGGGCGACGCCCCUAGUGCGAACGUCCCCGAAGCCUACGUUCUCGUCUUUAUGGAUCCAAGGCACAUGCUAGGAGAGGGCCCCAGUCGAUCCCCCACGCCAGGCUGGGCAUUGGACAUACAUGAGGCCGAGCUCUCCUCCAAACCACCACCAAGCCCUGCCGACGUCCCCAACAGCGGCAGCCUCUGGGUACAGUUAACGCCGCAGGGGCACGCUUACACUCACCAUGGAUCACAUGUAAACCAAGACGCCGCGACCACCAGGACUCUCAGGACGGCGGACCCUCCUCAGGAGCGUGAAGGACGUUGGGAGCAGCACGGGGGAAGCUCAGGGACAAGGCCCUCCUUGCGCCGCGUGGAGCAGGAUCUAGCCUAGAGGUAGGUUCCCUAGUAUGUCUCCAACGUAUCUACUUUUUCAAACACUUUUGCCCUUGUUUUGGACUCUAACUUGCAUGAUUUGAAUGAAACUAACCCGGACUGGCGUUGUUUUCAGCAGAACUGCCAUGGUGUUAUUUAUUGUGCAGAAAACAAAAGUUCUCGGAAUGACCUGAAAAUCCAUGGAGAUAACUUUUGGAAAAUAUAAAAAAUACUCGCGAAAGAAUCAAAGCCAGGGGGCCCAUACCGUGUCCAUGAGGGUGGGGGCAUGCCCCCUCCCCCUGGGCGCGCCCCCUGUCUCGUGGGCCCCCUGAUGCUCCACCGACCUCAACUCCAACUCUAUAUAUUCCGUUUCACGGAGAGAAAAAUCAGAGAGAAAGUUUCAUCGCGUUUUACGAUACGGAGCUACCGCCAAGCCCUAAUCUCUAUUGGGAGGGCUGAUCUGGAGUCCGUUCGGGGCUCCGGAGAGGGGGAUUCAUCGCCGUCGUCAUCAUCAACCAUCCUCCAUCACCAAUUUGAUGAUGCUCACCGCCGUGCAUGAGUAAUUCCAUCAUAGGCUUGCUGGACGGUGAUGGGUUGGAUGAGAUUUACCAUGUAACCAAGUUAGUUUUGUUAGGGUUUGAUCCCUAGUAUCCACUAUGUUCUGAGAUUGAUCUUGCUAUGACUUUGCUAUGCUUAAUGCUUGUCACUAGGGCCUGAGUGCCAUGAUUUCAGAUCUGAACCUAUUAUGUUUUGAUGAAUAUAUAUGUGAGUUCUUGAUCCUAUCUUGCAAGUCUAUAGUCACCUAUUAUGUGUUAUGAUCCGACAACCCCGAAGUGACAAUAAUCGGGAUACUUCUCGGUGAUGACCGUAGUUUGAGGAGUUCAUGUAUUCACUAUGAAUUAAUGCUUUGGUCCGGUACUCUAUUAAAAGGAGGCCUUAAUAUCCCUUAGUUUCCACUAGGACCCCGCUGCCACAGGAGGGUAGGACAAAAGAUGUCAUGCAAGUUCUUUUCCAUAAGCACGUAUGACUAUAUUCGAAAUACAUGCCUACAUUACAUUGAUGAACUGGAGCUAGUUCUAUGUCACGCUAUGUUAUAGCUAUUACAUGAGGAAUCGCAUCCGACAUAAUUAUCCAUCAUUGAUCCAAUGCCUAUGAGCUUUUCACAUAUUGUGCUUCGCUUAUUUACUUUUUCGUUGCUACUAUUACAACUACUACAACACUCCUAUCUUUACUUUUAUCACUGUUACCAUUACUAUCAUACUACUUUGCUACUAAAUACUUUGCUGCAGAUACUAAGUUAUCCAGGUGUGGUUGAAUUGACAACUCGACUUGCUAAUACUUGAGAAUAUUCUUUGGCUCCCCUUGUGUCGAGUCAAUAAAUUUGUGUUGAAUACUCUACCCUCGAAAGUUGUUGCGAUCCCCUACACUUGUGGGUUAUCAAGACUAAUUUCUGGUGCCGUUGCCGGGGAGCAUAGCUCUAUUCUUUGAGUCACUUGGGAUUUAUAUCUGCUGAUCACUAUGAGGAACUUGAAAGACGAAAGAACUAAGAUUUUUCCCUCAACUACGAGGGGAGGUAAGGAACUGCCAUCUAGCUCAGCACUAGAUUCUCCUUUUGUUUUGAGUAAGCUUGCGACACCUAAACCUGCUACAGCUAUGAAUUCUGAUAUGUCGCAUGUUAUUGAUGAUGCCACUUCUGCUAUGCAUGAUACUUAUGAUGAAACUACUUCUGUGCGUGAUACUACUAUGCCAUUAGGUGAAUAUCUUGAUGAACAACUUGCUAGGGUUAGAGACAAUAAAAUUAUUGAGAAUGAAAUUAUUGAUGAUAGUGAUGAUGAAGGUUCUCCCCCUGAUUAUGAAUUGCAUGUUGUUCCUGAGGGUUAUGUCAUGCAUGACGAAGCUGCUAGAACUAUCUUUGCUUGCAAGGAUAGAUAUGAUCUUAAGAAGUUAUUAGCUAAAUGGAAGCAGCAAUCUCUUAAUGCUAGAAUGAAACCUGACCCCGCUUUUGCUACAGCACCUAUCUAUUUUACUGAUAAGGAUUAUGAAUUCUCUGUUGAUUCUGAGAUAAUUACUUUGGUUGAAUCUGAUCCUUUUUAUGGCUAUGAAUCUGAAACUGUUGUGGCACAUCUUACCAAGUUAUAUGAUAUAGCCACCCUGUUUACUAAUGAUGAGAAGUCCCGCUAUUAUUAUAUCCUUAAGAUAUUUCAGUUCUCAUUAAAGGGUGAUGCUAAAACUUUGUUUAAUUCUCUUGAUCCUGGUUGUGUGCGUAGUCCCCAGGAUAUGAUUUAUUACUUCUCCGCUGAAUAUUUCCCUGCUCAUAAGAAACAAGCUGCCUUGCGGGAAAUAUACAAUUUUGUGCAAAUCAAAGAAGAGAGUCUCCCACAAGCUUGGGGGAGGCUUCUCCGAUUACUUAAUGCUUUGCCUGAUCAUCCUCUUAAGAAAAAUGAAAUACUUGAUAUCUUUUAUAAUGGACUAACCAAUGCUUCCAAGGACUACUUGGAUAGUUGUGUUGGUUGUGUUUUCAGGGAAAGAACAGUCGACCAAGCUUAAUUACUAUUGAAUAAUAUGUUGACUAAUGAAAAUAAUUGGACUCAUCCUGAGCCAAUUGAGCCAGCUCCUGAGCCUAUUCCUAAACCAACUCCGAAGAAGAGUGUUGUUCUAUUUCUCAGUCCUGAAUAUAUGUAAGAGGCAAAGAAAUCAAUGAAAUAAAAAGGUAUUAAAGCUGAAGAUGUUAAUAAUUUACCUCCUAUUGAAGAAAUGCAUGGUCUUAGUUUACCGCCUAUCGAAGAAACACAUUGUCUUGAUAACCCGACACAGGUAGUAAAGGUAAAUUCUCUCUAUAGAUAUGAUAAAGUUAAAAUCACAUCUACUAAAUUUCAUAGCCCAUGCUUAGAUGAAUUUGAUGACUUUAUGGCUAGACAAGAAAGUUUCAAUGCUUAUGUUGGUAGAGAAUUAAAGAAUAAUGCUUUCGAGAUAGGACGCUUGAGUGAUUAUAUGGCUAGAGUUAAAGGUGAACUUAAACUCAUUAGCAAAUAUGCUUCUAUGGUUACCACUCAAGUAGAGCAAGUACUUAAAGCUCAAAGUGACUUGCUUGAUGAAUUAAAUAAUAAACAUGAUUUUGCUGUUAGAGUGGCUACUAGAACUGGUAGAAUGACUCAGGAACCUUUGUAUCCUGAAGACCACCCUAAGAGAAUCGAGCAAGAUUCUCAGAGAAAUAAUUUAGAGGCACCUAGUUUUUCUAAGAAGAAGAAAAAGAAAAAUGAUAGGACUUUGCACGCUUCUAGUGAACCUAUUGUAGACACACCCGAGAAUCCCAAUAAUAUUUCUAUUUCUAAUGCUGAAACACAAUCAGGUGAUGAACAUCAACCUAGUGAUAAUGCUAAAGAUAAUGUUCAUGUUGAUGCUCAACCUAGCAAUAAUAAUCAUGUAGAGAUUGAACCUGCUGUUGAUCUUGAUAACCCACAAUCAAAGAAAUCAAUAUUAUGAUAAGAGAGAUUUUGUUGCUAGGAAGCACGAUAAAGAAAGAGAACCAUGGGUUUAGAAAUCCAUGUCUUUUCCUCCUAAACCAUCCAAGACAAAGGAUGAUGAGGAUUUUGAGCGCUUUGCUGAAAUGAUUAGGCCUAUCUUCUUACGUAUGCGCUUAACUGAUAUGCUUAAAGUAAACCCUUAUGCUAAAUAUAUGAAGGAUAUCAUUACAAAUAAAAGAAAAAUACCGGAUGCUGAAAUUUCCACCAUGCUUGCUAAUUAUACCUUUAAAGGUGGAAUACCAAAGAAACUUGGAGAUCCAGGGGUACCAACUAUACCAUGCUCCAUUAAAAGAAACUAUGUUAAAACUGCUUUAUGUGAUCUUGGAGCCAGUGUUAGUGUUAUGCCUCUCUCUUUAUAUCGUAGACUUGAAUUGAAUAAGUUGACACCUACUGAAAUAUCUUUGCAAAUGGCUGAUAAAUCAACUGCUAUACCUGUCAGUAUUUGUGAGGAUGUGCCUGUUUUGGUUGCAAAUGUCACUAUCUUAACGGACUUUGUUAUUCAUGAUAUUCCCGAGGACGAUAGUAUGUCGAUUAUCCUUGGUAGAACCUUUUUGAAUACUGCAGGGGAUGUUAUUGAUUGCAACAAAGGCAAUGUCACUUUUCAUGUUAAUGGUACUGAGCAUACAGUACACUUUCCGAGGAAACAACCUCAAGUUCAUAGCAUCAAUUCUAUUGGAAAAAUUCCAACUAUCAUUAUUGGAGGUUUUGAAUUUCCUCUUCCUACUGUCAAGAAAAAAUAUGAUAUUCUUAUUAUUGGGGAUGUUCAUAUCCCCAUUGAGAUAACCUAGUGUUAUUCGAAAUUUCUCCAGUUCCGUGCUAUUCGGAAUGAGUUUGUUAACAAGACUUGAUCAACCUUGUUAGUGGAUUCAUUUUGAUGAUCAUGAGAUAGAUGAAACUAGAAGCCACAACCUUCUGUACCCUCUUUUACUUUCUGUUAUUUAGAAUAAAUAAAGCAAAAAUAGUAUUAUUUGUCUGUUUUCUAAGUUAUCUGUGCAAUAAAAAAUAUCCCGAAGUGCUCCAAAUGCCCUGCAAAUUUAGUAUGAUUUUUUAUGGAAUAUUUGAGGAUUUUAGGCACUAAGAACACUGUAGGGGGCAAGCACCUGGCCACGAGGGUGGAGGGCGCGCCCACACCCCCUGGGCACGCCCCCUGUCUCAUGGGCCCACGGUGGGCCCCCUCCACUUAUUCCUGCACUCACACACUCCAUCUUCCUCCCAAAAAACAUCCCCAUCCAGCUCAAGCACGAGUUCUAGCUCAUUUUCCUACGAUUUUCGAUCUCCUUGCUCAAAGCUCUAUUCACAAAACUGUUUUGGGAGAUUGUUGCUUGGUAUGUGACACCUCCAUUGGUCCAAUUAGUUUUUGUUCUAGUGAUUUAUUCAUUGCAAAUUUCUGCUGCAUAGGUGACCCUGUUCUUGAGCUUGCAUGUCAAAUUUAUGAGGUCCCAAGUAAUUCUAAUGCAUGAUAUAGGCUCUAGGCACUUGUAGGAGUAGUUUCUACCAACCUUGUUUAGUUUGAUUCACUUUUUAUUUUGAAGUUACUAAAAAUUUCAGAAAUUUUUCAGAGAAAGAAAUAUGUCUAGGAGAAUGUACCAAGGUGGUUCCUCAACUAAGAGAGGACCUAGGCGUGCUAUGCGUGAGCAAGACGAUGAACCACCAAGGGACGCAGAAGUGCGGGCUUGUGAAUGGCCAUCAGAAGAGUUUAUGGUUAAUGCAAGCAUCAAGGAUGAAUUGACGUGUAUGUGCGUAACGCCGAUCUUGAGGACUUCAUACAAGAUAAGUGUCCUCAGUACUACCAAUUGACUGAUUCAUUCGUGAGAAGAUUUAAAUAUACAUCUUCGCGUAAUUUUCAGAAUGUCAUGUUUGAUAUUUGUGAUCAAUCUUAUACCAUGGACUUAGAAGAGUUUACAAUUGCUUGCAAACUCCCACAGUGGGGCAAUGUUCAUGAACCCCAUAGAUCUGAAUAUAAAGACUUUCUUGCUAGUAUUACCGUGGGAGAAUCUAGGGAUAUAACACAAGCUACCAUAGGGAGCAUUCACUUUCCUGCUAUACAUUAUUUUGCUCUCUUCAUUGGUAGAUGCAUUAACGGUAAAGAUGAAGCAUGUCACAUGUGUGUCCCUGAUCUUUGUGUCCUCAGGAGUGUUGUGUUAGGUAAUAAAGCCUAUAACUUGGGGGCAAUAGUUGCACGUAGGUUGCAUAAUAAUGGUAUAUCUGGAGAUUUAUUUGGAGGGAUUUAUGCGACCUGUGUUGCUAAUUAUCUUGGUAUAUCUCCACGUGGGGAGGAUAUUGAUUUGCCUCCUGCUUAUUUAGAUUAUGACACGAUGGUGAAACAUCGUUUUCUUUUGAGGAAUGAACAAUUCCUCCAGUAUUGACUAAUCUUUGACAAACGUAGUGCUGUCCAAGUUACUCUCCCUGUUCCUUUCCUUUUUGAUUACCAGGCAAAACGAAGAUAUGUUGUUACCAGGGAGGAGGCAGCCGAACACGAUGGGAGAGCGGAGGCAGCUCGCCAACAGGCCGCUGCUCAGGAUGCAUUAGCUGCUGCAUCUUAGUACGACCCCAGUUAUAACUUCGGAUAUCAGCCAGGCUAUCCUUGGCAUUAGACCAACUUAGGCCAAAAGCCUAAGCUUGGGGGAGUACAUAUUUCUCACCGACUUUAUAUUCAUGAUCACACACUAUUCUAGUUGUCGGUGCUCAUACUCUUUCAUUGUAUUAUCCAUGCUAGUUUAAUUUAUUUUUCUAGCUUUCUUCUUGUGUGUUUGUUAAAUCUUAAGAAAAACCAAAAAAAUAGUUAGUUUAAUUUCCUUGCUUGUAGUAGUAAUUGAAAUGAAAACCCAAAAAGAUUUCUCAUUCUUCUUUUACUUGUUGGGAGCUUUCCCUUGUAAAUAGUUUUAUUUCUUUUCUUUCCUUUGGGGGUCAAGAGUAGAAGACCAUAAUGAAAAUGCUUAGUGGCUCUCAUAUGCAUGAUUGUUGAUUUAACUUAGAGCCCAUAUUAUUUUGUCUUCUCUCUUGAAUUGAAUGCUUGCAGAUUCCAGCUUAGUCUAAUGCAUGUGCACUAUUAUUAUUAUACACACCGUUCGGUCGUGCAAGUGAAAGGCAAUAAUGACGAUAUAUGAUGGACUGAUUGGAAUGAGAGAAGCUGGUAUGAACUUGACCUCUCUUGUUUUUGUAAAUAUGAUGAGUUCAUCAUUCCUGAUUCAGCCUAUUAUGAAGUAAACAUAUUUGCAAUGACAUUUAGAGAUUAUAGUUGCUUGUGCCAUGCGUAAUUAGCUAUGAGUUAUAAUGGUUUACCUUGCGUGCCAACAUGCUAUUAAAAUGAUUGUGAUGUGGUAUGAUGGGAUGGUAUCCUCCUUUGAAUGAAUUGAGUGACUCGACUUGGCACAUGUUCACACAUGUAGUUGAAAACAAAUCAACAUAGCCUUCACGAUAUUUAUGUUCAUGGUGGAUUAUAUCCUACUCAUGAUUGUACUUGGUGUAAAUUAAUUUUAAUGCAUGUUCAUGACUGUUGUCGCUCUCUCAGUUGGUCGCUUCCCAGUCUUUUGCUAGCCUUCACCUAUACUAAGCGGGAAUACUACUUGUGCAUCCAAACUCCAUAAACCCCAAAGUUAUUCCAUAUGAGUCCACCAUACCUUCCUAUAUGCAGUAUCUACCUGCCAUUCCAAGUAAAUUUGUAUGUGCCAAACUCCAAACCUUCAAAUGAAAUUCUGUUUUGUAUGCUCGAGCAGCUCAUGUUUCAACUAGGGUUGUCUGUAUCUUCCAUGUUAGGUGGGUUAUUCUCAAGAGGAGUGGACUCCGCUCCUCAUUCACGAGAAAAUGGCUGGUAACCGGGAUGCCCAGUCCCAUGAUCAAAAAGAUCAAAGCAAAUCAAAAUAAUUAAACAAAACUCCCCCAGGGCUGUUGUUAGUUGGAGGCACUCGUUGUUUCGAGCAAGCCAUGGAUUGAUGCUUGUUGGUGGUGGGGGAGUAUAAACUUUUACCAUUCUGUUUGGGAACCGCCUAUAAUGUAUGUAGCAUGGAAGAUAUCGCCAUCUCAUAGUUGUUGCAUUGACAGUGAAAGUAUGCCGCUCAAAAUGUUAUUCAUCUCUAUUUUAAAAUCGAGCUCUGGCACCUCUACAAAUCCCUGCUUCCCUCUGCGAAGGGCCUAUCUAUUUACUUUUAUGUUGAGUCAUCAUCCUCUUAUUAAAAAGCACCUGCUGGAGAGCACGCUGUCAUUUGCAUUCAUUACUAUUAGUUUAUAUUGGGUAUGACUUGAUUGGAUCUCUUUAACCAUGAAUUACAAUGUUUAGUCAGUCCUUGAUCUUUAAAGGUGCUCUGCAUUUAUGUUUUGCGGUCUCAGAAAGGGCUAGCGAGAUACCAUCUUGUCAUAUCAUAUUAUGAUUGUUUUGAGAAAGUGUUUUCAUCCGAGUUUUAUUAUUAUUGCUCGCUAGCUGAUUAUGCCAUUGAUGUGAGUAAAUAUGAGACCUAAGUGUUAUUGUGAAUAUGGUUAGUUCAUAAUCUUUGCUGAAAACUUGAAUGAUGGCUUUACAUAUUUACAACAACAAGAGCAAAUAGAGUUUGUAAAAGUUUUUCUUUAUCACUUUCAGCUUAUCAACUGAAUUGCUUGAGGACAAGCAAAGGUUUAUGCUUGGGGGAGUUGAUACGUCUCCAAUGUAUCUACUUUUUCAAACACUUUUGCCCUUGUUUUGGACUCUAACUUGCAUGAUUUGAAUGAAACUAACACGGACUGAUGCUGUUUUCAGCAGAACUGACAUGGUGUUGUUUAUUGUGCAGAAAACAAAAGUUCUCGGAAUGACCUGAAGAUCCACGGAGAUAAAUUUUGGAAAAUAUAAAAAAUACAGGCAAAAGAAUCAAGGCCAGGGGGCCCACACCCUGUCCACGAGGGUGGGGGCGCGCCCCCCUGUCUCGUGGGCCCCCUAAUGCUCCACCGACCUCAACUCCAACUCUAUAUAUUACGUUUCACGGAGAAAAAAUCAGAGAGAAAGUUGCGUUUUACGAUAUGGAGCCGCCACCAAGCCCUAAUCUCUCUCGGGAGGGCUGAUUUGGAGUCCGUUCAGGGCUCCGGAGAGGGGGAUUCAUCGCCGUCGUCAUCAUCAACCAUCCUCCAUCACCAAUUUCAUGAUGCUCACCAUCGUGCGUCAGUAAUUCCAUCGUAGGCUUGCUGGACGGUGAUGGGUUGGAUGAGAUUUACCAUGUAAUCAAGUUAGUUUUGUUAGGGUUUGAUCCCUAGUAUUCACUAUGUUCUGAGAUUGAUGCUGCUAUGACUUUGCUAUGCUUAAUGCUUGUCACUAGGGCCCAAGUGCCAUGAUUUCAGAUCUGAACCUAUUAUGUUUUCAUGAAUAUUUGUGAGUUCUUGAUCCUAUCUUGCAAGUCUAUAGUCACCUAUUAUGUGUUAUGAUCCGACAACCCCGAAGUAACAAUAAUCAGGAUACUUCUCGGUGAUGACCGUAGUUUGAGGAGUUCAUGUAUUCACUAUGUGUUAAUGCUUUGGUCCGAUACUCUAUUAAAAGGAGGCCUUAAUAUCCCUUAGUUUCCACUAGGACCUCUCUGCCACGGGAGGGUAGGACAAAAGAUGUCAUGCAAGUUCGUUUCCAUAAGCACGUAUGACUAUAUUCGAAAUACAUGCCUACGUUACAUUGAUGAACUGGAGCUAGUUCUGUGUCACCCUAUGUUAUAGCUAUUACAUGAGGAAUCGCAUCCGACAUAAUUAUCCAUCACUGAUCCAAUGCCUAUGAGCUUCUCACAUAUUGUGCUUUGCUUAUUUACUUUUCCGUUGCUACUAUUACAACUACUACAACACUGCUAUCUUUACUUUUAUCACUGUUACCAUUACUAUCAUACUACUUUGCUACUAAAUACUUUGUUGCAAAUACUAAGUUAUCCAGGUGUGGUUGAAUUGACAACUCAACUGCUAAUACUUGAGAAUAUUCUUUGGCUCCCCUUGUGUCGAAUCAAUAAAUUUGGGUUGAAUACUCUACCCUCGAAAGCUAUUGCGAUCCCCUACACUUGUGGGUUAUCAAGACUAAUUUUUGGCACCGUUGCCGGGGAGCAUAGCUCUAUUCUUUGAGUCACUUGGGAUUUAUAUCUGCUGAUCACUAUGAGGAACUUGAAAGACGAAAGAACUAAGAUUUUUUCUUCAACUACGAGGGGGGGUAAGGAACUGCCAUCUAGCUCUGCACAAGAUUCUCCUUCUGUUUUGAGUAAGCUUGCGACACCUAAACCUGCUACUACUAUGAAUUCUGAUAUGUCGCAUGUUAUUGAUGAUGCCACUUCUGCUAUGCAUGAUACUUAUGAUGAAACUACUUCUGUGCGUGAUACUACUGUGCCAUUAGGUGAAUAUCUUGAUGAAUAACUUGCUAGGGUUAGAGAGAAUGAAAUUAUUGAGAAUGAAAUUAUUUAUGAUAGUGAUGAUGAAGGUUCUCCCCCUGAUUAUGAAUUGAUUGUUGUUCCUGAGGGUUAUGUCAUGCAUGAAGAAGCUGCUAGAGCUAUCUUUGCUUGCAAGGAUAGAUACGAUCUUAAGAAGUUAUUAGCUAAAUGGAAGCAGCAAUCUCUUAAUGCUAGAAUGAAACCUGACCCCGCUUUUGCUACUUCACCUAUCUGUGCUACUGAUAAGUAUUAUGAAUUCUCUGUUGAUUCUGAGAUAAUUACUUUGGUUGAAUCUGAUCCUUUUUAUGGCUAUGAAUCUGAAGCUGUUGUGGCACAUCUUACCAAGUUAAAUGAUAUAGCCACCUUGUUUACUAAUGAUGAGAAGUCCCGCUAUUAUUAUAUCCUUAAGAUAUUUCCGUUCUCAUUAAAGGGUGAUGCUAAAACUUGGUUUAAUUCUCUUGAUCCUGGUUGUGUGCGUAGUCCCCAGGAUAUGAUUUAUUACUUCUCCGCUAAAUAUUUCCCUACUCAUAAGAAACAAGCUGCCUCGCGGGAAAUAUACAAUUUUGUGCAAAUCAAAGAAGAGAGUCUCCCACAAGCUUGGGGGAGGCUCCUCCGAUUACUUAAUGCUUUGCCUGAUCAUCCUCUUAAGAAAAAUGAAAUACUUGAUAUCUUUUAUAAUGGACUAAGCAAUGCUUCCAAGGACUACUUGGAUAGUUGUGCUAGUUGUGUUUUCAGGGAAAGAACAGUCGACCAAGCUAAAUUACUAUUGAAUAAUAUGUUGACUAAUGAAAAUAAUUGGACUCAUCCUAAGCCAAUUGAGCCAGCACGUGAGCCUAUUCCUAAACCAACUCCAAAGAAGAGAGGUGUUCUAUUUCUCAGUCCUGAAGAUAUGCAAGAGGAAAAGAAAUCAAUGAAAGAAAAAGGUAUUAAAGUUGAAGAUGUUAAGAAUGUACCUCCUAUUGAAGAAAUACAUGGUCUUAAUUUACCGCCUAUCGAAGAAACACAUUGUCUUGAUAACCCGACACAGGUAGUAAAGGUAAAUUCUCUCUAUAGAUAUGAUAAAGUUGAAAUCCCGUCUACUAAAUUUCAUAGCCCAUGCUUAGAUGAAUUUGAUGACUUUAUGGCUAGACAAGAAAGUUUUAAUGCUUAUGUUGGUAGAGAAUUAAAGAAUAAUGCUUUUGAGAUAGGGCGCUUGAGUGAUUAUAUGGCUAGAGUUAAAGGUGAACUUAAACUCAUUAGCAAAUAUAUUUCUAUGGUUACCACUCAAGUAGAGCAAGUACUUAAAGCUCAAAGUGACUUGCUUGAUGAAUUAAAUAAUAAACAUGAUUUUGCUGUUAGAGUGGCCACCCUCCUCGUCAUCUCCACCCGUGCCAGCUCCUUUGGCUGCGAGCACGGCCGUGUCAUCCUCAGGAGUCAGCUCCUUCACCAGAGCAUCCACAUGACCGUCCACCCACUUGGCAAGCUUGUCUUGGGUAGCCACAAGCACGGGGGCUAGCACAGUGCUGAAUUCGAAGUGGGAGUCGAGGUUCAGGAGGUUGCUGAAGAUGCGCGAGAGUGUGCGCCCAAGGAGGCCCCGGAUCCUCUCCUCAACGAGCUGGCGGGCUUUUGCGGCCUGAUCCUCCAGGUAGGUCACGACAUCAGUGAAGAAGCAGAGAGGGCUAGCAUAAUCGCUCUCGUGCGGGUGAGGAGCGCUCUCAUCACAAAUGGCACCCAAGGCGUUGUUGGCUCUGAUGCGCAGGCCCUGGAGCAUGGGGUCGUGUUCGCGCUCCAGCGUCCGGUGGCGGCACUUUUCACUCGAAGCCUUCUCCAGGAGGGAGGCGGCGUCCUCGGCCUGCUUCCGGAGAGAGGAUAUCUUGGCGCGAGCAGAAUCCAGGGUGGAUUCGAAAGAAGCUAGGGCCUCCCGGGCAACACCCUCGCGCUGCUUCACCGCCUGUAGCUCGGUCCUCAAGACGGAGGUUCGGCCCUCAAACUCAGCCUUGAGCAGCUCCAGGUCCAGGAGGUGGCCCUCGGCUAGCUCAGCACGUGCCUUCACCACCUUCUCCUCCACCUCCACCUGAACCUGAGCUUUUCGGGCGGCAACAGCAUCCUCAGCCACGGCGGCUUGUCGCUCCCUCACCUCCAGCCUCUCGAGCGCCAAGCUAUGAUCCACGGCCUCCAGUGUCAAGUCCUCAUGGUGCCUCAGGAGCUCCGCCUCGGCAAGGGCCACCUCACCUGGUGAGGAGGCCAGCAAGGAACGACGCUCCUCGAUUUCGCGCAGCAGGGCAGCACUCGAAGAUAGAAGAUCUCGCUCCCGCUCCUCAGCCACCUCGCAACGGUGGUUGGCUGCCUCGGCCUCUUCCAUGGCGCGAGCGCAAGAUUCUUGAGAAGCCGCGAGUGAGGCCUCCGCGCGCGCCUCGGCUUCGUCUCGCUGAAGCUUCCCAAGGUUGAUGGCCACCUUCAGCCGUUACCGUUCACCCUCCAAGCGGCAGCUCUCUGCUUCAAGCCUGGUGUCGACGUUGGCGAGCUCCCCACCAAGAUGGACCAUCGCAUGCAUUGCUUCACCGAAGAGCCCGAAGCGCACCGCACUGCGCCCGCAAGCAAGCGCGAGCUCGUCGCCAAGAUCUUCACCAGCUCUGGAGGUCGCUCGGGAGGCGCUGGGGGCUCCGCCAGUCGCCGGCUGGGGGCUGGCCGGUGGGGCCCCGUAGCUUGAAGACGAAGGCUGCCCGGAGGGCGCCCCCUGCCGGCAAGGACAAGAGGAAGGAUCACCGGCGCACCCUUCCCCUCACGGACGGAGUCGGAGGGGGAGAGAACAUGGGGCUCGGUUCCGGUGCACCCUCGCGACGUCGUGCUAGAGAGAGCUGGAUUCACACCCUACACAGGCUCAGGGCGCUAGGGUUGCGCUCCUGCACCGUGCUGGAGCUCUUGGGGGCGCCCGCCUCCCGAGGUUUUUCCUUCAUGAAGAUCCUGCAAAACCCCAGCAAUGAGAAAACGUAGUGCGCUUGGAGAUCAGGAGCGAAGAUACUUACUCGUCGGUGGCCACAUAUCUCCUUGGCUUCAGCAGCCAGCGGGUGCCAUCGUCGCGACACGGGAACCUCUUCCUCUUCAGGAGCAACUCAAGGCACAGGCGGCACCGACCUGGUCCCGAUGGGCGACCCUCGGGAGGGGGAGCGUCCGGCGUGAUAUCUGGGGCAGAGGUCCCGAGGGCAGGGCGCCCGGCAGGGCGCCCGGCAGGGCAUCCUGGCUCACAGCUCCGGGGCUAUUAGUGGGCUCCUCGUCGCCAGCAGCAGCUCUGGAGCCACCGUCCCGGAUGUGAGAGGCUUCUGCCUCCGGAGCUUGGUGUAGCGCAGGCUCUGCAGCAGUCCCUGCCGGAACCCCAGAAGCCUGAGGCUCCUGAGCCUCUAACGAGGCUGAGCCUCCAGAGGAGUUCUCGACAGCUGACAGAGGCGCGCAUCCCCCUGCCACCAAACUUGGGGCGCACGCAGAAGGAUCGAUCAGGAGAGGGGCCACGAAGACUGGAUUCUCACGGGGCCCCACAAUUCCCUCGGGAAGCAACCCUCACUCAUCAAACAGGGGCAUCUGCCCCGCGAAGGCCUCCUUGUUUGAGCACAGAUAAAGAAGGCAGCCACCCCACGGGAGGUCAGCAGUCUCGGGCUCGCCAGUCAGGAGCUUGAGCACCAUGAUCAAGGUAUCGGCAGCAAGCGAUGGCUUCUGCAGCCUCAUCGGAUCCUCGGUGCCGGUGAAGUCCCACAUCGGGCAAGAAUGGCGCUGGAGGGGAGCAAGGCGCUGCUUCAUGAAUUCCUUCACCACCAUUGGCGCAGUCACCCGCAGCUCUUGGAGCCUUGCCAACCUCUUCCAGACAAAAGCAAGACGCUGGUCAGUGAGCCUCACAUGGCACCAACCGGAGCUUUGUGAAGCCAGUGACCCAGGAAUCAUGGCAGGGGGCUGAAUGCACGGGCUUCCAUCAGAAACCACCGCUUCUGGAAUCCCUUCGCGACGGGCGAGAGCUCGAAGUCGAUCCCCGAGCCGGCGGCCGUAGCCACGGCCUCAAAGGUCACGCACCCAGAGCGCUGACGUGCGUCUACCAGCCGGAGUAGGAACAAAUGUCGAAACAAGGCCACGGAGGGAGUGAUGCCCACCAUGGCCUGGCAGAGGAAGGCGAAGACGACGAGAAGGAUGAUGGAGCGGGGGUCCAGAUGGAGCAGGUGGAUUUGGUAAUGCGACAAGAAAAGGGAGGAUCAAUCCAGCAAGAAGAGCAUGGAGAUGGAUGGGAAUCUCGGUGGCACUCAUCUCUGGUUCACCAAGACAUAGGGCGAGCAGCCAUCGCCNNNNNNNNNNNNNNNNNNNNNNNNNNNNNNNNNNNNNNNNNNNNNNNNNNNNNNNNNNNNNNNNNNNNNNNNNNNNNNNNNNNNNNNNNNNNNNNNNNNNNNNNNNNNNNNNNNNNNNNNNNNNNNNNNNNNNNNNNNNNNNNNNNNNNNNNNNNNNNNNNNNNNNNNNNNNNNNNNNNNNNNNNNNNNNNNNNNNNNNNNNNNNNNNNNNNNNNNNNNNNNNNNNNNNNNNNNNNNNNNNNNNNNNNNNNNNNNNNNNNNNNNNNNNNNNNNNNNNNNNNNNNNNNNNNNNNNNNNNNNNNNNNNNNNNGAGCGCGUGGCGAACCUUGUCCAGCCCUUCCUGAUUGAUCACCGUCGACUGCUCAAGGGUCGGCUCCAGGGCCGGCGGAGGACAGGCCGGCACGCGCGGCUUCACCUUCUUCUUCCUUGGCUUGGGAGCCAUACGAAUACCAAGAGAGGACAAGGUGCCGGCACCAGAUCUAUGGACGCGGCGGCGAGAUUGGGGAGGAAGAAACAAGAUCUGGGCACGGUACACCAUGAAGGGCGAGUUGCGCUGACAACGGGCGGCUGCUGGGUCUCCCGGAUAUCAAGGCGGUGUGGGGAAGUGGAGACACCCACGUCCCAUCAACCGCCACGUGUCUUCAGGGCCGCAGGAUGUUAGGGCCCGCGGUGCUCCGUCCUUGCCCUUUGGCUUCGCCUGGAAGACAAGUCCGAGCGCGCCUUGGGACCGGGGACUACUGUCGGUGUCCUGGACUUGGGGGUAUCCAGUCCUGCCUACCUGCAGCCCACCACGUGGCUCCAUCGACGGCCUGGUACGGCCCAGCUUCGACAUCAACACCACAAGACCCUCGCGAGGGGCCAAACCUCGCGAGGCGGACGACGCCAAGACCCCUAAAGGAGUUGGCCUCCUCAGGAGGGCUCCUUAGGGGCGGAGAGAUCUAUGCAGCUACCUCAUGAGGCUCAGCUGAUGUGAGCCAUGAUGACCAAGGCCAGGUGGGCGCCUGGCGGGUACAGAGCGCAGGUUUCCUCUUCGGUGCAAGGGAGGAAAGCCACAGGCACGGAGUUCCAAAGAAUCAGCCAAAGGUUUCCAUUCUGGUGCAACAAGACCAAGAUCACUAGGACGGAGGUCAUCACCGAGCCCAUGCUACGUCUUGAGCUUGCGUUGGUUUUCCUUGAAGAGGAAAGAGUGAGCAAAGUAGCAUAAGUAUUUCCCUUAGUUUUUUAGAACCAAGGUAUCAAUAAAGUAGGAGGCUCCUCAAAAGUCCCACGCACCUACACAAACAAACAAGAACUCGCAACCAACGCAAUAAAGGGGUUGUCAAUCCCUUCACGACCACUUGCAAAAGUGAGAUCUGAUAGAGAUAAUAUGAUAAGAUAAAUAUUUUUGGUAUUUUUUGAUAUAGAUUGGAAAAGUAAAAGAUGCAAAUAAAAGUAGAUUGAAAGCUUAUAUGGGCAAAGAUAGACCCGGGGGCCAUAGGUUUCACUAGUGGCUUCUCUCAAGAUAGCAUAAGUAUUACGGUGGGUGAACAAAUUAUUGUCGAGCAAUUAAUAGAAAAGCGAAUAAUUAUGAGAUUAUCUAGGCAUGAUCAUGUAUAUAGGAAUCACGUCCGUGACAAGUAGACCGACUCCUGCCUACAUCUACUACUAUUACUCCACACAUCGAAUGCUAUCCAGCAUGCAUCUAGAGUAUUAAGUUCAUAAAGAACAGAGUAAUGCAAUAAGAAAGAUGACAUGAUGUAGAGGGAUAAACUCAUGCAAUAUGAUAUAAACCCCAUCUUUUUAUCCUCGAUGGCAACAAUACAAUACGUGCCUUGCUGCCCCUGCUGUCACUGGGAAAGGACACCGCAAGAUUGAACCUAAAGAUAAGCACUUCUCCCAUUGCAAGAAAGAUCAAUCUAGUAGGCCAAACCAAACUGAUAAUUCGAAGAGACUUUCAAAGAUAACUUAAUCACACAUAAAAGAAUUCAGAGGAGAUUCAAAUAUUUCACAUAGAUAAACUUGAUCAUAAACCAACAAUUCAUCGGAUCUCGACAAACACACCACAAAAAGAGUUACAUCGAAUAGACCUCCAAGAAGAUCGAGGAGAACGUUGUAUUGAGAUUCAAAGAGAGAGAAGAAGCCAUCUAGCUAAUAACUAUGGACCCGAAGAUCUAUCGUAAACUACUCACAACUCAUCGGAAGGGCCUUGGAGAUGAUGGAGAGGCCCUCUGUGGUCGAUUCCCCCUCCGGCGGAGCGCUGACGAAGGCUCCAAGAUGGGAUCUCGCGGAUACAGAAGGUUACGGCAGUGGAAAUAGUUUUUCGUGGUGCUCCUGGAUGGUUUCAGGGUAUGUGGGUGUAUAUAGGAGGAAGAAGUAGGUCGGUGGACGCUCGAGGGGCCCAUGAGGGUGGGAGCGCGCCCACCUGUAGGGGGCGCGCCGGGCACCCUCGUGGCCGCCUCCUCUGUUGCUUGACGUCCACUCCAAGUCCCCUGGAUCACGUUUGUUCCAAAAACAUCUCUCCCGAAGUUUUCAUUCCAUUUGGACUCCGUUUGAUAUUCCUUUUUUUCGAAACACUGAAAUAGGCAAAAAAAAUAGCAAUUCAGGCUGGGCCUCCAGUUAGUAGGUUAGUCCCAAAAAUGAUAUAAAAGUGUAAAGUAAAGCCCAUAAACAUCAAAAAUGGGUAAUAUAAUAGCAUGGAACAAUAAAAAAUUAUAGAUACAUUGGAGACGUAUCAGCCCACGACAGCGUCAUGACGAGAGGCUUUUCGCAGGCGAAGACUACUUUUGUUAGGAUAGACUAUACUACUUGUCCCCUUUCAAAUCCCGCUGUUGUGGAAUCCCUUCCCGCUCAUAUUUGGGAAGAGGACCAGGGCGACUAUAUAUAGUACUCAGCCACCACCAUAGUGGAGGGAUCGAUUCCACCCCGAGCACCACACCAGCUCAAGAACACCUCACCUCCUGAGGCUUGUUCAUCCUUUGUACUAGUUCAUCCAUAGCCCCUCGAGGCAAUCCACCACACCACACUAGAGUAGGGUGUUACACCACAACGGUGGCCCGAACCAAUAUAAAUCUUUGUGUCUUUGUGUCUUUGUGAGCUCUACGCGCUAGGCUAGGGAGGAUUGCGAGUAGGCAGGUUGGGCAGGUUGAGAUCUCCGCACACACCCUAGUGUUCGAACCUCUCACAGGUUGCCGGACCCCGAAAUCUGACACAAACCUCUUCACUCCAUGCUAGCGGUGGAGGGCGAUUGCAUAGCUAUUUAUUGCUUGGUAAGCAGAUUUCUUGUGUGGGAAAAACUGCCCAACCUGCAGACUUCCCGCUUCUAGUCCAGAAACAAAGUGAAAUUCAUUGGUGAUGCUCAUAACCUAUAAAAACUUAGGUUCCAGUGGUGCCGCGACCGUCCUGAGGAGGAACAGCUUCUUCUUCACCUAAGUCCAAAGAGGCAGAAGAAUGGUCGUCAUCGUCAUCAUCUAGCGCCUCAGGCAAUCCCUCCAUGUGUUCUCUCAAGUCAACGGCCGUAGACCAAUAUCAUGUGUCAUACACUUGGUUGCCACCUGUCGAUUUCGAUGGGCCGGCGUAGGGGCUGCUGUGAUGGCCAACUCAACGUCACCACCACCGCUACUGCAUCCUGCAUCACCAUUGACGGAAAUGAACUCCACAUACACCAUCGGUUGUCCAAACAUAGAGCAACUAUGAUUGCUUGCAAACCUCAUGUACGACCUCCAUGAGUUUUCUCCUAUGACCGGCCGCAGACCCCAACGGACAACUGUACCAUCUUUACAUCCGACAACGACAAAGGCCUUCAUGGUCAUUUUCUUUCCACGCAUCUCAGGGCCAAACGUCGCUUGGAUGCUUUCUUGACUGCCGCAUAACCUACUUUGAUCAUGUCUCUCACAACUCGCCAACCCGCACAUGAACACAUCGACCCCGGAAGGACCUUUGCGUAUAACGUCCCCAUAGAACACUAACAAAUUUUCCAUUGAAGGACAGUAAAACUAAACCCUUUCCGAGCCCUCUAACGCCCCCACUGAUUUAGGCCUUCAGAUCACGCGUCUCAGCUAUCCCUGACCGUCCAGGGCAAGUUUUCCUCACGUAUGGGUUGAUAUUGGGCCGGAUGUCCUAGGCCGGUAUUCCCCUGGCCGAAUAGAAAGAAUCUCGUUCACUGGCAUGCACUAAUGUCCGAUGUCAAUAUUGAUUCUUCUCCGUGUCUUCAUAGCCUCACCCCCUUCCCGCACCCUUUUGCUCCACUCCACCUGCGAGGAAUUGGAUCUUUUGCUCCAUUUUAUAUGGGGUUUGAUGAUUUGUCCUAUGCUUGUCUCAAUGGCUAGUGGCCCCUGGCCCCACCCGUCAAUUGUGGGGGGGAUGAUCAAAGUUUAGAAGAAAAGUCAAUUUCUCCAUCGGAUCCCUCCAGGUGUGUCACCGUUGUGGUCGUAUCCGCGGAGAGAAAGAGAGAGAGAGGGUGUGGGAAAAUGGCAACAGCGGGCCAAACGGAUCACCAAGCACAUCAUGCAAAGUGGAACCGCUCAGAUCGCAGCCCUUGUAGACCUAGCCUCCAAAUCUCGCACGAAAAAAAGAGAUCAUGGCAAUGGCAGCGGCCGGCAUCACUUCCUCCAUCCAUCCUCUACAGGUCUGUGUAUCUCUCCUACUUCUGUGCAUCCUCCGUCACGGACCAACCCAGUAUCAUUUCGAUCCCUCGUGUGCGAGUGAUCGCCUGACGUGAUGCGGUGCAUGAUUCACCGCGUGCUGGUUGAAAUCUGCAAGGGCUACUAUGGGGUGGCAGCCGCCACCUCUCGGGGAAAACCUAGGCUAGACUCCGACUUCACCGAUCUGGUCCUCUGGCUCCGAUCUCAAUCUCUUCCUGCUUGUUAAGUAGGUCAUCAUCCACAUGUACAGGUACAGCCCAAGAUGGCCGCCGCCCUGCUGCACUUGCUCCAUGUUGGCAGUCCCUUGCCUACAGGUCUAGGGGUAUUCUUGGGUCCUCAUGUGAAUACCCAUGAUUUUUACAAAACAGUGUUGAUUUUGGCAAAAGAGUGACAAUUUUCGAAAAUAGAAAUGAUUUUUUCAAAAUGAAUACACAUGAAUACCCGGUUGCAAAUUCCUGGAGCCUCCACUGCUACAGGUACAGCUCAAGAUGGUCGCAGCCCGGCUGCACUUGCUCCAUGUUGCUAGUCCCUUGCCUACAGGUACAGUUCUCCUUUCCCCUUAUGCAAUAUGCCUAGGCUAUAGGGGAAGAUUUUUGUCCAAAAGGACCCCUUGCUGAACACUAUUGCCAAAAAGGACUACCUGCGGAUAAAAUUGUCAAAAAGGACCCCCUCACUAGUGGCGGCAGGUGCAACAGGCGACACGCGGCACCUGCAGCCACGCCAGGAGGCGGCGGGCCCUAACGCCAGCGCAGGAGGCGGCCACCGAGGCGAACGGGAAUCCCAGCUACUCACCACGCCGCGAUGGAACAGGGCGGGCCAGGUGGGCCCCACCGCCAUCGGGUGAGGCGGCGAUCGCUACCACUGCCGCUCCCUGGCCGAUAGCACCUGCUGUGCGCGGGCCGAGGAGUAGGCCAGGCCGCCAAGGGAGGAGGCGGCAUCUUUCCCUGGCUGGCUGACAGGCCAUGCAUGCCACAGGCCCAGCCGGUGGGCCAUGUCGCCACUGCUGCUGGGGCAGCUUGCUGCACGCGCGACAGACGCUGACGGUGCUGAUUCCCGGGCGCGACAGCGAUGCUGACGGUGGUGAUUCCUAUGCGUGGGAAUGUGUAUGCUUUUGGUUCUUUCACCCGGGAAUCAGUCUGUUUUUUCUACUUUUGCUACAGCGGAUGCGACAGCACCGCGAGAAUCGCUCUGGCUAUUGCUUGAGCGGAUGCGACGGCACUGCGGUAAUCAGUCACUCGCUGCGGGAAUCCGAUGCUGCGGGAACCUGUUGUGUCGACACUACAGGGAUCCUAAAAUUUCCCGCCUAAUUUCGUCCAUUCGCGCUUAUUUUUUCGCCAUCAUUUGUCGUCUAAGCCUAUAAAAGGAGACACCGAGGCUCUCGUCCAGCCAUCCUAUUCCCGCCAACCCUUUCCCUCCAUACCCAAGUCGUUCUUUCCCGCCAUACUCCAGCCGUUCUUUCCCGCCAUUUUCUCCUCUCUAGCUAUAAAACCCCCUUCGACGAUGUGAAUAAGCAGUGUAGUGUAGUGUAGUCGAGAUGUCCCAUUAUCCUUUCGAUCGUAGUUUUCACCCUGGGAUGAGCAGAUGUCUUCUGAGGCUAGCCACUGAUUUCAGGAUGGACAAUAGGAUAGUUCCAUGGGACGAACUCACCGGCAGUGACACCAUAAUAAAUGAGUUGUCCCACAAAUUAUGUAGGUCUGGAUGGCCUGAAAGGACUUAUGAGGAGGUACGUACUAAACUUCUUAGGUUGCAUGAAAGGUGGAAGAAGGUAGUGGAGCCGAAGAGUGAAACUUCCAGAAGGACUGCAACAAAGCAUCCAUUUUUAUGGACUGAGGAAAGCGAGGACGACGAUGAUAUCUUCAUGCCGCUUCCGGGUUCUGCAUCCUCGAAGGGAAGAGUUAUGCAUCGUCCAAGGGCAAGAGUUCCGCAUCCUCGAAGGGCAAGAGUUCUGCAUCGAUGGAGGAUGACGAUGAUGCCUUCAUGUAGUGUUUAAGCUACGUCCUCGAAGGGUAAGAUUGUCGUGGUUCUGAACGCUGGACAGAGGGACGUGGGGGGCGAUGUGUGAGUUUAAUGUCUUAAUUUCUGCAGUUUCGUGCAGCUUUAUUUCACAAUCGUUUGUAUUUUAAUUUCUGCAGUUUAGUGUAGCUUUAUUUCAAUAGUAUGGAGUAUCUUAAUUUCGGUUGUACCAUGUCUUAAUGAAAAAAAAUAUAGUUUUACAAUAAAAUGUAGCAUUUUAUUUUUCUCCACUAAUUUUCAAACAUCGUGCAACAAGUACAACAAGCACAAACUAAUAAUGCAAAUACAUCUGAAUUUAACGGGACUGGUGCAUUUUUAUUUCAGCAUACAUAAUGUUUUAUACAUAAGUCGGAAAGUCUGAUACUGACAUAUGUAGAUACAGUGGGUCGCACACGUAGAUAGAUGAAUCAUUGUAGUCGACGACAGCCACCUGGCCUUCCCUUCGGACCGGAAAGCUCCAAGCGAUUAGGUGGUCGAGUUACACGAAGACUGCGACCAUACUCCAGUUGGUCUUCCUGUGUCUGUGACUCCUGCAUAGGUGGUGGAGUCUGUAAUCCUUGUUGCGAACAUGAUACGUAAUUGUAGGCGUAUGGUUGUUGUGACUCCUCGGGGAUAAACGAUGGGCCAAUAAUGUCCUCUCCGAAGAAUUCCGUAACUAAUGCAUUAAAAUUGUCGCCAUCAUCUUGUGAUGAUCCCUGUAUGCGUGUGUUGAGGCCAGGUUGGGUGCACUCAUCGUCCCAAUUUACAUCAGGUAAGUCCUACACAUAGAAACAUUGUAAACAAAAACUAUUAGAGGAUAAUAUGUAAUAUCACAAUAAAUGCAUUAAAAUGUAAACAUGACUACCUUCAGAUACCUCGCCUGUACUGUCUGGACAUUCUACCUGGUACUGGUUUAAAUCUGGGACACGAGUCUCCUCGGGCAUGGAGAUCCCUCAUGUGGAGAGAUACGGCUGAGAUCCCUCACCUUGAGUGUAUGCGCCAUAUCCUGUGUAGGCAUAUGGGUUUGGGGAAAGAUACAGCUCGAGCAUCGAAUCCAAGCCCAUGCCAUGGUCCUGCGAUGUCUUCCCUUGACGAAGCAGCACCGAAGAAGAGUGAUGUAGUGGCAGAGAUGAGUCAUGUUGUGGCAAUGUCGUUGUAGUACUCGGACUCUCCCCCCACUGCCCAUGGCUUGUACGCGCCUCGCUCGGUCUGGACGGCGGCACCGCACUCGGUCUGGCUGAUCUCGGUACUCACAUGUUGUACGCUCCUGUGACAACGUCGUUGCCUCUACCACAUCUCAACUUUGUUACCGUGUAUUAUUUAAGACGUUUAUGGAAUGACUUGACAGCUGAUCCCCUGGCUGGCAUGCUUUCUAUCAUGAUCUGCGCUAUUUCGUUGGCAGUUUGAAGCUGAAAAAUAUUUGGUUGUUAUUUGGUUGAAAUGAUUAUGAAAUAAUGGACCUGAAAAAAUUACUAGUGAUUACCGUCUGGUCACGAUAGAAAGCUGCAUGAAGCUCAACAUGUCUCCGCAUCUGCUCCUCGUGCGUGAGAUUUGUUGGUAUCGUAGUUGGUUGACUGGCCAGGCUUGUACGCGUGCUGAUGCAGUACCACUGCUUGUACGCUUGAGUUGUACUUCCAUCAUACGGUCUGCAAAAUUAUAUAAUUAGAUUAACCAUUGUGAUGAAAGCAAAGCAUCUUCACGCAUCGUAUGGUCAUCGUAAUAAAAUAAUGUAAAUAAAAUGUACCUAAGUUGAUACACUAUAUCUGCUAGCGCUUCAUUUUCCCACUUGUGUUCCCAUUGAAUGUUGCGUUCCCUCCAAUUGUAAGAACUCCAACCGUGGCCCAUAUUGGUUAGCCUGCAAAUUAUGUAACAAAGUGUGAGUUUAGUAAAUUAAAAAGGACACUAACUAUUUAGGGAGGUCACAUCUUACUUAUGGGUUUCCUCAUCGGUACAUCUUGGAAAAUGUGGUGGAAUCUCCUAAUACAGACCGAACUGUCUCAUGACACACUCCGGGUUGUAAGGCUCAACACACCAUGGGAAUAAUAAGUAGUAGCGAGUCAGCCAGAAUGCACUAUCGGUCAACAUGCCUGCUGUGAUGGGUCGUAUAUCAAAGACCAUCUGUACAUGCUCCUGAGUCCAUGGGUUCCAUGUGACUACAGACUCAUCAAGUACCUCAAACUGCUGGUGGUAUAUAGGGUAACAAUUUUUCCCAAUACUUGGAGACCAAUGUCUCUGUGCCUUUGUCCACCUACUGGCCAUAGUUACACUACUUCCAUCGCUACAGUCGUAUGGGUGUAUGGGAUUUAGUAUAUGAGGUCGUUCUACAGGGAGGUAUUCCCAAGACCACAACUGUAGAAACUCGUAGGGGACACAAAGUAAUGGAGCUUUUUUGCGAAGGAAGUUUUUUGUGUGGCAUCACACAAGCCUCUAUAUGUAUGAGAUAGAAUGGCAGAACCGAAGCUGUAUUUUGGCUGCUCGGGUAAAGGUUCAUCUAUCAUCUUCUCCAUAAUGCAGAUGAGACCAGGGAGAAGUGCGUCCCCAUGUGAAUUUGGAAACAUAACCCCGAGGAGCCCCAACAAAUACGCAAACAGAUGCCUUUUCCUCGUCUCAGAAUCAACGAAGCUAGAAAAAUUACGAAAGUUAUCACGAAGCCGGGAGAGUGGGAUGCCACGAGGGCCACCAGCAUGUCGUGAUUCUGGCAUUGUCAUCCCAAGACGGUCUGAUAUAUUUUGUGCCCGGGAUGUAGACACUCGUGGAGAGACUAACGGCUCACCUCUAAUUGGUAGAGCAAGGAUCAUAGAAACAUCUUUCAGUGUAGGUGCAAGCUCCCCAAAACGAAAGUGAAAGGUGUGGGUUUCAGGUCUCCACCGGUCAAUGAGGGAUGUCAAAAGGGAUGGGUCCGAACGUAACUGGUCUUCGCAUGAUGUGAGCCUAGCAAAAGCAUGUAGUCCAUAAGCGUCAAGGUGAGGAACGAAAGAAUUGUGUAUUAGCCAGGUUUUCUUUAUGGUUCGAAGUCUGAAACUUCGAUAAUCAUGUUCUUUAUUUGGGUUCAGAAAUAGGUGGCAACGGUGGCCAAGUGCCAGUGCUUUUGGAGGGGCCCCAUGAUGUCGGCUACCGUUGCCACCUAUUUUUGAACCCAAAUAAAGAACAUGAUUAUCGGAGUUUCAGACUUCGAAGCAUAAAGAAAACCUGGCCAAUACACAAUUCUUUCGUUCCUCACCUUGACGCUUAUGGACUACAUGCUUUUGCUAGGCUCACAUCAUGCGAAGACUAGUUAUGUUCGGACCCAUCCCUUUUGACAUCCCUUGUUGACCGGUGGAGACCUGAAACCCACACCUUUCACUUUUGUUUUGGGGAGCUUGCACCUACACUGAAAGAUGUUUCUAUGAUCCUUGCUCUACCAAUUAGAGGUGAGCCUUUAGUCUCUCCACGAGUGUCUACAUCUUGGGCACAAAAAUAUAUCACAUCGUCUCUGGAUGACAAUGCCAGAAUCACAACGUACCGGUGGCCCUCGUGGCAUCCCACUCUCCUGACUUCGUGAUAACUUUCGUAAUUUUUCUAGCUUCGCAGAUUCUGAGAUGAGGAGAAGACAUCUGAUUGCGCAUUUGUUGUGGCUCCUCGGGGUUAUGUUUCCAAAUUCACACGGGGACGUACUUCUCCCUGGUCUCAUCUACAUUGUGGAGAAGAUGGCAGAUGAACCUUUACCCGAGCAACCAAAAUACAGCUUCGGUUCUGCCAUUCUAUCUCAUACAUAUAGAGGCUUGUGUGAUGCCACACAAAAAAUUCCUUCGCAAAUAAAGCUCCAUUACUUUGUGUCCCCUACGAGUUUCUACAGUUGUGGUCCUGGGAAUACCUCCCUGUAGGACGACCUUGUAUACUAAAUCCCAUACACCCAUACGACUGUAGCAAGGUAAGCAGUGUAACUAUGGCCAGCAGGUGGACAAAGGCACGGAAACAUUGGUCUCCAAGUAUUGGGAAAAAUUGUUACCCUAUAUACCACCAGCAGUUUGAGGUACUUGAUGAGUCUGUAGUCACAUGGAACCCAUGGACUCAGGAGCAUGUACAGAUGGUCUUUGAUAUACGACCCAUCACAGCAGGCAUGUUGACCGAUAGUGCAUUCUGGCUGACUCGCUGCUACUUAUUAUUCCUGUGGUGUGUUGAGCCUUACAACCCGGAGUGUGUCAUGAGACAGUUUGGUCUGUAUCAGGAGAUUCCACCACCUUUUCCAAGAUGUACCGAUGAGGAAACCCAUAAGUAAGAUGUGACCUCCCUAAAUAGUUAGUGUCCUUUUUUACUAAACUCACACUUUGUUACAUAAUUUGCAGGCUAACCAAUAUGGGCCAUGGUUGGAGUUCUUACAAUUGGAGGGAACGCAACAUUCAAUGGGUACACAAGUGGGAAAAUGAAGCGCUAGCAGAUAUAGUGUGUCAACUUAGGUACAUUUUAUUUACAUUACUUUAUUACGAUGACCAUACGAUGCGUGAAGAUACUUUGCUUUUAUCACAACGGUUAAUGUAAUUAUAUAAUUUUGCAGACCGUAUGAUGGAAGUAUAGCUCAAGCGUACAAGCAGUGGUACUACAUCAGCACACAUACAAGCCUGGCGAGUCAACCAGCUAUGAUACCAACAAAUCUCACGCACGAGGAGCAGAUGCGGAGACAUGUUGAGCUGCAUCCAGCUUUCUAUCCUGACCAGACGGUAAUCACUAGUAAUUUUUUCAGGUCCAUUAUUUCAUAAUCAUUUCAACCAAAUAACAACCAAAUAUUUUUCAGCUUCAAACUGCCAACGAAAUAGCGCAGAUCGCAACGGAAAGCAUGCCGGCUAAGGGAUCAGCUGUCAAGUCAUUCCAUAAAUGUCUUAAAUAAUACAUGGUAACAAAGUUAAGAUGUGGUAGAGGCGACGACGUUGUCACAGGAGCGUACAACAUGCCAAGUACCGAGAUCAGCCAGACCGAGUGCGGCGGCGUCGUCCAGGUCGAGCGAGGCGCGUACAAGCCAUGGGAAGUGGGGGGAGGGUCCGAGUACUACAACGACAUUUCCAUGACAUGACUCAUCUCUGCCACUACAUCGCUCUUCUUCGGUGCUGCUUCGUCAGGGGCAGACAUCGCAGGACCAUGGCAUGGGCUUGGAUUCGAUGCCCAAGCUGUAUCUUUCCUCAAACCCAUAUGCCUACACUGGAUAUGGUGCAUACACUCAAGGUGAGGGAUCUUAGCCGUAUCUCUCCACGCGAGGGAUCUCCAUGCCCGAGGAGACUCGUGUCCCAGAUUUAAACCAGUACCAGGUAGAAUGUCCAGACAGUACAGGCGAGGGAUCUGAUCGGGUAGUCAUGUUUACAUUUUAAUGCAUUUAUAGUGAUAUUACAUAUUAUCCUCUAACUGUUUUUGUUUACAAUGUUUCUAUGUGCAGGACUUACCUAAUGUAAAUUGGGACGAUGAGUACACCCAAUCUGGCCUCAACACACGCAUAUAGGGAUCAUCGCAAGAUGAUGGCGACAAUUUUAAUGCAGUAGUUACAGAAUUCUUCGGAGAGGACGUUAUUGGCCCAUCUUUUAUCCCCGAGGAGCCACAACAACCAUACGCCUACAAUUACGCAUCAGAUUCGUCACAAGGAUUACAGACUCCACCACCUAUGCAGGAGUCACAGACACAGGAAGGCCAACUGGAGUACGGUCGCGGUCUUCGUGUAACUCGACCACCUAAUCACUUGGAGCUUUCCGGUCCGAAGGGAAGGCCAGGUGGCCGUCGUCGACUAAAAUGAUUCAUCUAUCAACGUGUGUGACCCAUUGUAUCUACAUAUGUUAGUAUCAUACUUUUCGACUUAUGUAUGAAACAUUAUGUACGCUGAAAUAAAAAUGCGCCAGUCCUGUUAAAUUCAGAUGUACUUGCAUUAUUAGUUUGUGCUUGUUGUACUUGUUGCAUGAUGUUCGAUAAUUACUGGAGGGAAAUAAAAUGCUACAUUUUAUUGUAAAACUAUAUUUUUUUCAUUAAGACACGGUACAACUGAAAUUAAGAUACAUCAUGCUAUUGAAAUAAGGCUACAUUUAAGUACUGAAAUAAAGCUACACUAAACUGCAGAAAUUAAGAUACAAACGACUGCGAAAUAAAGCUAUAUGAAACUGCAGAAAUUAAGACACUAAACUCACACAUCGUCCCCCAUGUCCCUCUGUCCAGCGUUCAGAACCACGACAAUCUUGCCCUUCGAGGAUGUAGCUUAAAAACUACAUGAAGGCAUCAUCGUCAUCCUCCAUCGAUGCAGAACUCUUGCCCUUCAAGGACGCGGAACUCUUUCCCUUGGAUGAUGCAGAAUUCUUGCCUUCGAGGAUGCAGAACCCGGAAGUGGCAACAUGAAGAUAUCAUCGUUGUCCUCGCUUUCUUCAGUCCAUAAAAAUGGAUGCUUUGUUGCAAUCAUUCUGAAAGUUUCACUCUUCGGCUCCACUACCUUUUUCAACCUUUCAUGCAACCUAAGAAGUUCAGUACGUACCUCCUCAUAAGUCCUUUCAGGCCAGCCAGACCUAUGUAAUUCGUGGGCCAACUCAUUCAUUAUGGUGGCACUACCGGUGAGUUCGUCCCAUGGAACUAUCCUAUUGUCCAUCCUGAAAUCAGUGGCUAGCCUCAGAAGACAUCUGCUCAUCCCAGGGUGAAAACUAUGAUCGAAAGGAUAAUGGGACAUCUCGACUACACUACACUACACUGCUUAUUCACCUCCGUCGAAGGGGGUUUUAUAGGUAGAGAGGACAAAAUGGCGGGAAAGAACGACUGAGGUAUGGAGGGAAAGGGUUGGCGGGAAGAGGAUGGCUGGACGAGAGCCUCGGUGUCUCCUUUUAUAGGCUUAGACGACAAAUGAUGGCGAAAAAAUAAGCGCGAACGGACGAAAUUAGGCGGGAAAUUUUAGGAUCCCUGUAGUGUCGGCACAACAGGUUCCCGCAGCAUCGGAUUCCCGCAGCGAGUGACUGAUUACUACAGUGCCGUCUCAUCCGCUCAAGCAAUAGCCAGAGCGAUUCUCGCGGUGCCGUCGCAUCCACUGAGGCAAAAGUAUCACCGCCGUCAGCAUCGCCGUCGCGCCCGGGAAUCAGUGCCGUCAGCGCCUGUCGCACGUGCAACAAGCUGCCGCCAGCAGCAGUGGCGGCGUGGCCCACCGGCUGGGCCCGUGGCCUGCACGGCCUGUCGGCUAGCCAGGGAAAGAUGCCGCCUCCUCCCGUGGCGGCCUGGCCCACUCCUCGGCCCGCGCAUAGCAGGGCUGUCGGCCAGGGAGCGGCAGUGGCAGCGCUUGCCGCCCCGUUCCGUCGCGGCGCGGUGAGUAGCUGGGAUUCCCGUUUGCCUCGAUGGCCACCUCCUGCGGUGGCGGCAGGGCCCGCCGCCUCCUGGCGUGGUGGCAGGUGCCAUGUGUCGCCUGCCGCACCUGCCGUCACUAGUGAGGGGGUCCUUUUUGACAAUUUUAUCCGCAUGUAGUCCUUUUUGACAAUAGCGUUUGGUAGGGAGUCCUUUUGGACAAAAAAAUCACACGGGAAUGCACGACCAAAACACGAGAAUCCCAAAAGAAAUGGAUGUAGUCACUAGUCACUCUCAUGCAGCUUGCUAGGUCUUAGAAUAUCUCAUGUACGUGGGAGCUUUGACAUGAUACAAGGCCCUUGACAAUUAUCACUGGUAUGCGAGUUCCAUUGUAUCUAUUUAAUCAUUUUUUGCCUGCUUGUUCAAGAUAUUCUAACUAAACAUAAAUUUCUCUUAUUUCUUUUAUGUACAGUUUGAUCGUUUCUUGAAGUGCAAAUUGUAUGUUGGUGAUACUUUUUUAAUUGGUUCUUUCUCUUUUACAGAAUUGAGCAGAAAGAAAAGAAUAUGACUGUUUUGUUUGCUUUAACAAUGAAAGGUUUGAACUUGGAGAAUACUUUGAUUCUGUACAGAAGUUGAUGUUCAAGUUUCUUGUGCAUUUAGAUCUGAGGGGAAACCACAUGCUGAGAAAUUCAAGAAUCAGUUGUAUAACCAGGUUUACUAACACCUAUGCAUUUCUCUUAUUUAUUUUGUGCAUUCAUUUCUAUUUUUAAUUUCUCUCUUCUCUUGAAAUUAGUACAUUAACCAAUCCACUUUCUGAUUUUCUAUGCAGCAACUAUACUAGAAGCUGGCAUGUACAACGAGGAUGGUUACGUGCCUCUUUAAGUCAUCCAGUGUUACAUUAAUUCUUUUCUUGGCACUAAUUUGUUAAAAAUGUAGAAUUCCCUCUUUAAAAAAUGAUGUUAGUGAACAUCUGAAUUUUAAAUUUUUUUUACAUUCCAAAAUAGUCAAGUUUUUUACCUAACAUUUUUUUGGCUCACAUAAUUCUUGAAUGCCUUCCAUGGGAUGAUAGAAAUCUUGCUCAUCUAGCAAAAUAAAAGAUAACGAAGAAAUUUGGAAGUUCGGAAAACUUGGAAUUUCUCGGAGGUAUUGUCAUGGCGGUGCCACGUAGUUUGAGAAAUUUUGCUUUCAACUUGGAUGAAGCUUUGUCAUAAAGGAUGGCACAUACAAUCUUAAAGGCAAGAGAGUUUAGUUGCUUAACUAAUAAGGUUUAUACAUCUUGCGGUGGAUUCAACCUACAAACCUCAUAAAGUGCUCCCCCAGUGUCUGACUAGUCAAACCCUGAAAGCUUUCGCUAAUGGUAUUUAAAAAAUUGCGUGCUUACAUGUUUCCUACAUUUUUUUGGUUACCAUAUGCAUUUCCUUCCCAUUUAAUAAAUGCAUCGCACAAUAUAAAUGGUCAAAUUUUAACUUCUGAGAUAGGGCAAAGUCAAUAACAGUGGAACAUAGUAUGUUAAAUGUUGGUUGCUCUGGCUUAUAUGAUGACAGAUUGCUUCUUGAAAGCUCUUUUUAUACAGAGUAAUGCUUAUAUUGGAUAUUUUAGGAGAGGUUUAAUUCAAUAGAUAUUGUUACAGAUUGUUUUCUUCUGAUUUUUCGAGUCUACCUGAUUUGUGAGUUUAGCACUGUUAACGUUCUCUAAGACUAUUUCAUAGGUGAGCCUGGGUCCAUGACUAAGAUUUUGCCCCGCUAGCGCAGCCUGAGCGCACUAAACAUUACUUUUGUUGUACUAAGAAAAUAUUCAGCCUGGGAGAAUAUAAGUACAGAAUAAUAUUUUCUAGGUUAUGAGCUUAUCCUUUCUGAAGCUUGGCCAGCUUUGAUUAUCAUGAACAUCUAUGACAAUAAUAAAUUGAAUAGUUCUCCUUUUCGGCUAUAUUUGUAGUGGACUUAUUGUUCAUAUGGGUAAAUGUAGUUUACUAAUUCUGUGAGAAGUACCAAGAGGACACAUUGUUACAAUUGGAACAAUUUUUAGCUCCUGACUUUCCUGGUUAAGUUGUUAUCCCAUGGAAUAACUCUCUUUGUUCUGCCGACUCUGACUUAACCAACUUCGGCACUCUCAAGUUCUGCUACAGUUCUCUUCUCUAGCUGCUGAGCUCCCUCAUUUUGUGGGAUUUAGUUAAUCUAUAUGCGUCCCUCUUAUUCCACAAAGUAGAAAGUUGGCAAACUAUUUGACCAUGUGUAGGAUUAGAGGCAAUUAUGAGUACAACACUUGUUUAUUUCGUUACAGCCCAAGCUAAGAUAUCUUAAUUUUAUAAAAGAUCAAAGAUACAUAAUCAGUAAAUCUACAUGCUUUCUCAUAUCAUAUUGCUACAUGUUAAUGAUUCGUGCUAUACUAAUGUAGGAUGUGGUGAACUCCGCCUAUGUUGUCUCAACAUAGCUGGUCCCAACCCCUGGUAAGGAGGAGGGUUGUGAUAGGUUUGGCGAGCCAUCGUAAAAACUCAGCUACUCUUAUGAAGAUGAAACCCAAAAGCCGACUAAAAUGCAGACAUGUUCAACAGUUUGGUGUGGCGAAGAUGCGUAUGUUGAGAUGGAUGUGUGGCCACACGAGGAAGGAUCGAGUAUGGAAUAUUGAUAUACGAGAUAGAGUUGGGGUAGCACCAAUUGAAGAGAAGCUUGUCCAACGUCGUCUGAGAUGGUUUGUGCAUAUUCAGCGUAGGCCUCCAGAAGUUCUAGUGCAUAGCGGACGGCUAAAGCGUGCGGAGAGGGCGGGGUAGACCGAAAUUGACAUGGAAGGAGUUCGUUAAGAGAGACUUGAAGGAUUGGAGUAUCACCAAAGAACUAGCUAUGGAUAGGGGUGCGUAGAAGCUUGCUAUCCAUGUGCCAGAGCCAUGAGUUGGUCGCAAGAUCUUAUGGGUUUCACCUCUAGCCUACCCCAGCUUGUUUGGGACUAAAGGCUUUGUUGUUGUUCUCGUUGUUUUUAAUGUAGGAUGUGGUGGUAUUUGAUCGGAUUUUUUAUCAAAAAGGACCCUCUGGCCAACACAAUUGACAAAGGGACUACAUACAAAUCAAAUUGACAAAAAAGACCCCCUCAGCGGUGGCGGCAAGCGCGGCGGCCGACACGUGGCUCCUGCUGCCAUGCUAGGACGCGGCCGACCGGCUAUUACGUAAUUUCCAGCGCGCCGGGAACCGGGAUGGAACGGGGUCGGGCAUGUGGGCUCCACUGCCACUCGACGAGGCGGCCGGCACUGUUGCUGCCGCACGCAGGCCGACCGCACCUGCUGCACGCACGGCGAAGAGGUGGGCCACGCCUCCACUCCCCGAGGCGGACGCGCUGUUGCUGUUGCUCGCGGUGCGACAACUUCGUUGUGGCAGACGGCAAUGAUUCCCACGCGCGGACGACGCUGAUUUCCACGGGCGGGAAUCCGAUGUCGUGCGGUAGGUUAAUUUUUGACGUCUUGUGCCGACACUCUGCGGUGCUCCUCUGCACUCUCUUUGCUUCCCUGCGUACACUCUCCACUCCACUUUGUCUGGUUCGCAUGCCGUUCGGCGAGAAUCGUUUCUGGCAAUGAUUCCGCUGCGGUGUUGCCCGCUGUUUGAUAAUUGCCACUCCUUUCUAUGCAGACGACACUGAUCAAAAGCAGUGUGUGAUUCCCGCCUAAAGUUUUGUUCAUCGAUUGCUGCAGCCGACGCGACAGUACCGAGGCAUGCCAUGCCGACACUGGUUGUACUGUUUUGUAUCACGCGUAUUUCUCACCUAAAAUUUAGUCCGUUCGUGUCUAUUUUCUUGCCAUCAUUUCAUGAGUCCAAGACAGCAAAAGAAGUUGGCGAUGGAAAAAAAAUAUCCACGCUGGACUCAGUAGAUACAUGCGAUAGUAUUUUAAAUUUUGCAACCAUUUAUAUCUUAAUUUCAGCAGUUUAAUGUAGCUUUAUAUCAGUAGUUAAAUGUAGCUUUAUUUUAUUAGUACAAUGUAUCUUAUUUUCAGUUGUACCAUGUCCAAAUGUCUUAUUUACCUUCUUUCCUUCUUUCUUUCUCUCCCCACUCGAAAACACUUUAAUAAUACAAACUAAUUAUCAAAUGUCGUGCAACAACUACAAUAUCAAAUUAAGAUAGAACAUAAUGCCCAUACAAUAAGACAAUACAAACUAAUAAUGCAAGUACAUCUGAAUAAAUUGUAAAACUGAACUUAAAAACUAAAAAUACAGCUUAAAAACUACAUGAAGGCAUCAUCGUCAUCCUUCGCCGAUGCAGAACUCUUGCCCUUGAUGAUGCAGAACUCUUGCCCUUCGAUGAUGCAGAACUCUUGGCCUUGGUACUCGAUGUCAAGAUAUCGUCUUCAUCCUCGUUGUCCGCGGUCCAUAAAAAGUAUUUUCUGCUGCAAACUUUAGGUAUGAUUCACCCUUACUCUAUUGCUUCAUCCAUCUUCCAUGCAACCUGAGAAGUUCUUUCCAGGACCUUUGAGGAUAUACGGAAAGAACUUCUCAGGUUGCAUGGAAGAUGGAUGAAGCAACAGAGUAAGGGUGAAUCAUACCUAAAGUUUUCAUCAGAAAAUACUUUUUUAUGGACUGCGGACAACGAGGAUGAAGACGAUAUCUUCACGUCGAGUACCAAGGCCAAGAGUUCUGCAUUGUCUAAGGGAAAGAGUUCUGCAUCGCCGAAGGUCAAGAGUUAUGCAUCGACGGAGGAUGACGAUGGUGCCUUCAUGUAGUUUUUAAGAUGUAUUUUUAGUUUUUAAGUUCAGUUCUACCGUUUAAUUCAGAUGUACUUGCAUUAUUAGUUUGUAAUGUCUUAUUGUAUGGGCAUUAUGUUCUAUCUUAAUUUGAUGUUGUAGUUGUUGCACAAUGUUAGAUAAUUAGUUUACAUUACUAAAGUGUUUUCUGGUGGGGAGAGAGAUAAAGAAAGAAAGAAGGUAAAUAAGACAUUUGGACAUGGUACAGUUGAAAAUAAGCUACAUUGUACUAUUGAAAUAAAGCUACAUUUAACUACUGAAACAAAGCUACAUUGGACUGUCAAAAUUAAGAUACAAAUAGUUGCGAAAUUUAAAAUACUACCACAUGUAUCAACUGAGUCCAGCAUGGAUAUUUUCCUUUUCCAUCGCCAACUUCUUUUGUUGCGUUGGCCUCACGAAAUGAUGGCAAGAAAAUAGGCGCGAACAGACUAAAUUUUAGGUGGGACAUACGCGUGAUUCAAAACAGUGCAUCGAGUGUCGGCAUAGCAUGCCUCGGUGUUGUCGCGUCGGCCGCUGCAACCGAUGAACAAAACUUUAGGCGGGAAUCGGGCACAGAAAGCAGUGGCAAUUAUCAAACAGCGGGCAUCACCGCAGUGGAAUCACUACCAGAAACGAUUUCCGCCGAAUGGCAUGCGAACCAGACAGAGUGGAGUGGAGAGUGUACGCAAGGAAGCAAAGAGAGUGCGGAGGAGCACCGCAAAGUGUCUGCACAACAUGUUAAAAAUUCACCUACCACACAACAUUGGAUUCCCGCCCGUGGAAAUCAGCGUCGUCCGCGUGUGGGAAUCAUCGCCGUUUGCCACAGUGAAGUUGUCGCACCGCGAGCAGUAGCAAUAGCGCGGCCGCCUCGGGGAGGGGCGAUGUGGCCCACCUCCUCUCCGCGCGUGCAGCAGGUGUUGUCGGCCUGUACGCGGCAGCAGUAGUGUCGACCGCCUCGUCAUGUGGCGGAAGGGCCCACAUGCCCAGCCCCGUUCCAUCCCGGCUCCCGACGCGCCAGAAAUUACAUAAUAGUUGGCCGGCUGCCUCAGCGCAUGGCGGUAGGGCCCGCCUCCUACUAGCAUGGCGGUAGGAGCCAAGUGUCGGCCGCCGCGCCUGCCGCCACUACCGAGGGGGUCUUUUUUGUCAAUUUUAUUUGUAGGUGGUCCUUUUUGUCAAUUGUGUUUGCCAGAGGGUCCUUUUCGACUAAAAAUCCCGAAGCAACAGUGGAUGUUAUCGUCUAGUAAGCAUCACAAACAGUGCAGCCGCCUCAUAGAGUGGCGACAUGGCCCACCGCCUCGUUGUGCGUGCAAAUGCCAUGUCGGCAACCGAGCGGCAGCAGCAGGGCCCACCUACCUGGCCCCGUUCCAUCCCGGUACGGAUACAUGUUAUACAAUGAUGGGCGCCUUAGUGCGUGGCGGCAGGUGCCACGUGUUGCCUGUCGCGCCUGCCGCCACGCCGGGGGGUCUCUUUUAUCAAUUUCAUCUGCAUGUAGUCCUUUUUGACAAUUGCGUUGGGCACCUGGUCCUUUUCGACAAAAAAUCAUUUGAUCGAAAGAUCCAGGUUGGGAAAGGCAUAUUUCUUUGACAAGCACAAGUAAUGGAAGGACCAAAAGAUCCAGAUUAGGAGGACACCGUUCCAAGGUACAAGCACAUAUCAUGGAAAUAUUGCUACCAGUGGUUGUAAAGUCCACAUAUCAGUAUGUGAUGUCGAUGAAUGAUGUUAUAUCUUCUUGCUCUAAUUUUAUGAUGGUGAAUUGAUGGAUGUUGACUAUUGGACAAGUGGUGCCAUUUAUUUUAGCUUGUUAAUUCCUAAUGAGUAAUGCCAAAUUUUGUCUCGGAUAAAAAUGACUUUACCUUCCAAUUUGGCGAUCAAGGACUCCUUUAUAUACUUAUGGAACUUAUUUUCAUUAUAUUGUCAAAAUAGGUGGGUGUAGCAACGCCGCCAUCAUUGAUCUAUAUUUACAUUUCAAAUAAUUAAUAACUGGAUAUUUUAUUAUUAGCUGAUUAAAACUUUAAAUAAAAUAAUAAGGGAAAAACAUUUUUAUAUCCAUAUUUACGUUUGAACUAAUCAGUGCUUUUGUAAUAUCAUUCGGUUCGACUCUAAACAUAAUAAUACAAUCAUAACACUUUAAUAAGAUAUGAUUAAAACUUUUAGUAUAUUUUGAUUUUAAUAACAUUUUCAUAUCAUCCAAUAAAAAUAGUUUAUUUACAAAUAAUGAAAUGAGAAUACAUUUUAAUAACCGUAUUUUCAUUAGAAAAUAAUCUACUUUUUUAGUAUCAUUCGGUUGGACCUUAAACAUAAUAGUAUGAUGAUACCAUUUAAAUAUCAUAUGACUGAACAAAUAACCAUAUUUCCACUAGAAAUAUUUGCAGCAGCAGUAACAUCAUUCACAAUAGUACAUCAAUAUAAAAAAUAUUUAAAAAUUACACACCAUCAUUUAUACCUCAGCUUAAAUAUAGAUGUUGUUUCGAAUAAACUUAAGCGCCGCAAUAGUUCAAAAAAAAUCCGUCAGCAUGAACAUAUCACCGGUAAUAUAUCAAUGGAGUUAACCUAUUAUCACACGAACAUAAAUAUUAGACACGGAUUUUUUUUCUGCUAUCAAAAGCAUCCAAAUGGCACUUUGCAUGUAUGUGGUCGUCACCUCAAAAGGGACAUCGAAGAUCGAAACACAAUUUCUUCAAUCACGUCAUCUCAUCAUUGUUUGUUACUCAGAUGAUAUUUUUUUACCUAAUUACAUACAUCAUUAAGGAUAUUAGCAUCUAAUCUUAAUAUACAAAACUUAGAUUAUUGCGACAUACAAAAAGUAGACCUACGGUUUCCUAACUAUAAAAAUUAUUAAUAAACAUACCACAUACCACAUGAAAUAGCAUCACUUUCUUUUUGCGAAAGAAAUAGCAUCACAUUUAAUCAUGCAAUGACCAAUUAUGGUACAAACUUUUUCUUAAUUAGCAUAUUAAGAACUUUUCGCAUGUCAAACUGAAUUAAUGCAUUUGAAAGGCCUAACGUGAUCUACAAUACCGUCAAAUAUUUGUUGUCCAAAUUUUGGCUCUAACCCAACCUAAACGUUCAACAUAAGUACUAAUUACGACGUAAUAACAAAAAUAGCAACAUCUUGCUUGUCAAAAAAAAUUAGUAAUGGAUACAGCUAACAUUGAUCUACGACAUCUUCAACUUACACGUGUGCAAAAAAUUACUAUAAAUGCAACAUAUGUCAUCUGAAAACUUUUAUAACUUCUAACAAUAAACAUCAUAUAGAUAAUGACGGGCUAAAAAACUAACUAAUUUUAACCGUGCAUGCACAAGAAAAUUUAUGUAUCGCAAAGCUCAUACCUUGAUCUUCAACUUCGUAGUUCACUUCGCACGGCAAAUCCUACUCCAGAAGCUCCAGAUGACUCCUUAAAGUGAUGAAAUCAUGCCUAAAACAACAGAGAAUACAUACUUAGGGAAUAAAAACAUCAUGCAUGCGAACGAAACCAACAAAAACGGAUAGAUCUUACCUUGAUCUAUCUUUUCUUCAACUAAAACUUCUUCUGAAUCGGCCUUCAAAUCGCUCAAAAUCGUGAUCAAAGUAGCUAUUUAAGCUGUCUUUCUCAAUGUGCUAGGGUAGAGCAGAGAGAGCAGGGAGGAGAGGAGAGGAGUGAGCGGGCUGCUGCGCAAAUGAGGCACAUCCUGCCUUAUAACGAGAGAAGUGUCGGCAGAACGGUAC